UCAGCCUGGGUGUCUUUAGGGUUGCAUUCUGUGUCUGAUCUUUACUUCUUGAUGGUUCGGCUCUCACUGAAAGUGAAUCAUGAUUUUUUUCCCUGGCCUCUGCAUUCUGAACGAAAAUAAUCCUAAAACUAUAAAUUUUGUCUCAUGAAGCACAAAAACAAGAUCCAGUACGAAAGUGCAAGUAUGAAUUGUAAUCUGCUCACAGAAUUUGGGCUCUUUGGUUUAAGUUUUUCAUGACUACCACUUUCCGUUUCCUCCUCCUCCUUUCCUUGCUCAGACUUUGAAGUCGUCUUGCCCUUUUUAACUGAAUUCUGUGCAGCAGUACCAUUUGAAGGCUUCUUUUUUGAGGUUUUUACCUGAUAUAAUGUUCAAUUAAAGGAAACCAAAAACCCCAGAACAAAAAUGCAAGCCUUGCAAAGAGGAAAUUAAGGUAUGUAAGACCAGAAAAGAUGUUUACUCACAGAUACUGAAGUGGCUUUUGGUUUCUUGGGCUUUAUAUUAGGCUUUGGUUUUCUGCUUUCUGCACUCUUACUUUUUGAUAGUAAUUGUACUAGGGAGAUAUUCCCCUAAGAUCCCAAAAUUGUUUCAACAAUAUGAUAGGAAGACAAUUAAGAUUCAUCCUUAAAUGGAACCUAGAAUUGCAAAUUACUCACAGAGUUCUUCACUGGCUCCAAUUUGAUCUCUUUUCUGCGCUUUGCUUCUGGAGUUGGCUGCAUUUAUCAUACAAAUGCAAAGAAGAAAAUGAAAAGCUCAACAAGUCAAACAUGAGAAAAUGCAAAUGAAGAAGGGAAGGAGCCUGUAAUCACAGAAAUUAUGCUAUUUGACUUGGGUUUCUUCUGCUCAUCUUCUUUUUUCCUUUUCCGGCUUUUCUCUUCUUUGCUCCUGACUGAAUCCAAAUUUAUUUCCUUCGACUUUUUUGUCAUUAACUUGGUAUUUAGCUUUUCCAAAUUUGAUUUUACCUGAUACACAAAAUUGCAGAUGCACAUGAAUUAAAACAUAUAGAUAAUGAUCCAAUCAAACAGGCCCAUUAAGAGGCUCAGACCAUAAAAAGCUCAAGAAGCUACGGAGUAAAUAAAACAAAGCACAGAUUUCCAUUCUAAUGCAUUUCUUGAGGACUGCAUUACUUUGCUUUUCUUCAGAAGUGUCAGUAUGAAUUCCAAACAUUACUAUAAACCUUCAACAAUUUAGACUCCCUGAGCACUCACAGUUGGUGGUGAUAUUGCAAUGAAGGAAGAAUGUGUUCAUUUUCCCCUUGAUUUUACCAGACGAAAAAGAAGACAAGACAAACUUACAGAUGAAAGGGAUUUGAUAUUCUCGCCUUUGUCAAUUUUAGUUUGCUUUUCCAUUUUAUUUUGAGAUGCCUCAGCCACAACUGUUCCUGCUCAAACAACCAUGCAACUGUGAAAAGUAAGAUAAAUAACUGAGUACUUUGAAUUAUGACUAACACUUUCAAUAACUACCAUCUUGUGAGUUUCUUAAGUGCAACUUUUUAAUACCUCAUAAACCUAUUACCUUCACAAAUAACAUAAGCAUCAGUAUUAACGAGAUUGGGGCGCAGAGACGAGCAAAAAGCUUCAAAUGUUUCUUCCUUCAUAAUGAUUAAUCACAAAUUAAGUAAAGAAAAGACAGCAAAUCAGAAAGAGAAUAAGAGAAGUCAAGCUGUGUCAAAAACUUUUUGAUGCCCCAAAGUAGGAAGUGCGUAACAUAAAAUUCAACAAAGUUUGGUCAUGUAGUUAAGAAAAAGAGAGAGAGACUAGAAAGAGGGUAAGAGAACUGGUAAGCUAAGUCAAAAUCCUUGUGACAUACCAAAAGGCUAGUACCCCCAUAAAAUGGAACGAACAAAAAUGAAAACUUCAAUAAACAUUAUUUUGAUAGAAAACUAGAAGGAAGCUACCUCUCUCUUGAAUUAAAUAGUUUCUCAUAUUACUCAUGUAAAAAAGCAAAAAACAAAAAAAAAAGGGAGCAUAAAAUGGUAUACAAAAUCAAAAGAUGGGCUAACCUUUUGUUUUUUGCUUACAUGAACCUGAUUUGGAGCGCUGGAGUUCCUACAGUUCAAAUCCAUUAUUGGUAAGAUACAUUCAAAAGGAUCAUUUAAUUUUCUGGCCUAUAAUGAAGCAUAAAGCACCUAUGCAUUGCCUUCUGCAUAUGAAUUGACAAGAAAGAAUUACCUGCUUCAUAGCUUCACUCAGAAUAGCACACUAUGACAACUCGUGUAUCCCUUGCAUCUUAUCAUUGAAAGGUAUAGACAACAUAACUGUUCAGAACACUGUUAAAGGGUGCAUGGACAAAUUUAAAUGCUCAAACUCCAAGCCAAGUUGAAUAGGAUCUUACAAAAAGAUGCAGGAAGAGGAAACUGCUGCCACAACUUCAAAAUUAACAAAUUAGUGCAGAGACCAAACAACCAAGCAGCAAAGGGCCAGUUCCAACUUGUAGUGUCCUUACAGUGGAAUGAGAUCUCCACCUGUUUUUCUCCACUUCCCUUUACAUCUUCCACUUACAGUGCCUUCAUCAACCUACCAUCAAAUGAAGUAAAAAUAUGACUCACUUUUGUUCUUUGCAAGAUACAGAAUGUACUAAUUUCACUGGCAGUAACAUUUAUUUGUGAAAUGCAGGAGAACUAAGGUUUUUUUGUAAUAAGAAUAUGGAGCUGAACCAACAAAAUCGCCAGAAUGAUAACUCUUGCGAGAUUUGAAAAACAGUAGUCGCUCUCUCAUCUAUUUUUCCAACAGAAAAUCUGUUACUUGCCCUUAGUUUAUCUUAGCGUCUGCAACUGAAUGAUCAAUUUUGCAUUCAUGCACAUUGCUAUAUGGAGUUGCACGUUAUCAGAUCAACAAUAGACAUCACACUGCAAGAAAAUUUACUGACAUCUAGGUUUUUCAAGUAUUUGAUCGUACUUAAAGCAAUUCAAGCUGUACAGAGCAAUAAUAGGUCAUACUAGAUAUCAACAGACUGCAUUAUGCAAUAUAAGGAAACUGAAUGUAUCUUAUAUCUUCCCUUUCAAUAUACAAAAGCGGCUAAUCAUUAUCAUCCAUAUAUCUACAUUAAAUAGCAUUUAAGAGUGCAUUAUUUUGAAACACAAAUGCAUUGAAAAAUAUACCCCUACCGUCAAUCACAUCCACAUGACAGAAUGGCUGCCCAUGCAACACUAUAGCUUCAAGCAUUUCAACCACUCACAUCCUCAAAGAACCGCUGCAUAAAGUAAAGAUCUUUGUUGCACAUGCUCAGUGCAGGUCUUCAGGAUGAGAAUGCCUAAUGGUUCUAGGUAUCAAGUUCUACAAUUUCCUCAAAUCUAGGAUAUUGAGAUGCCAAGACUAUCAGAGAUGUCUAGAGGUAAAGGCAAUUUUCAAACUCCGAAGCAUGAAAACUUUACUCUACAUUAGGUACAUCCAGUUGUUGGAACUAGCAUGAAAUGGACAGAUAUCAAUAUCAAGGUCUGCUGGAAAGCUGCAAAUUCUCAACAAUUAAAACAAAAAAAGGCAAAAAAGACAUUGUCAUGUUAGAGCAGUUGAAUGCCCCUGCAUAACUACGAACAUAUACCAAUGGUCCAGCAUUGCACUUCAGUAACAAUCAAAGAUCAAAAAUCUAGUAGGACCACAAAUUGUAGCUAAAUUAUUACAAGGCAAUAAAAUCAUUUCCGCUGCAGCUCAAGGGUUAAUACUUUUAGUUAACAACAUCAGCUGUGAAUUGUCAGAAAUUGAAAGUCAGCAGUUAAUUUAACACAGGAGAUGCUCCAAUUAACAGCACUGAGAGACCACAUUUUAGCCCAGAGCGUUCAUAUCGACACAAUCGCAAAAAAUAGGGGAUUAAACCCAGUGGUAACCAAGCAGUAUUGGCUUUCAUCGAUCUUAAAUUAAUCAAACUACAACCAAAAUCAAAAGAAAUGAACCAAGAAACAAGAAAAACAUUCAAGAAAUCCUCCUGCCCCUUCUAAUUUCCCCAGUCCCCAAGUCCCAUUUCCAAAUAAUAACUAUGAAUAUUGGAAAGAAAAAGGAUAAAUUAACUUACGUGUAGAAGUGAAAAGAGUCCAGAAAAACUUCAGAUGUUAGCUGUCAAAAAACUCAAAACUCUUUCCGUAUAAUCUGCACUUCUUGUUGGAGAGUGGAGACAAUGGGGAGUGAAACAAAUGUGGCCAAUUUACAACAGCACUUGCGCAGAAAUGAGAGUUCCCAGACCUUGGACGACUUUUUCCCUUCAAUGUCUCCCAGGUCCUAAUAACGAAACCAAAGCCAAAAGGAAAACAAGAAGGGAUAAAGAGUUAAUUACAAAGUACCCCUCAAAAAACCACAUGCCUUGCCUUGCUUGUUAUUCACAUGGAUGAUGGAACAAAUCAAUUCUCUCAGCUUUUUAUGGUUUCCCAUUGCCGAGCGCUCCUAAAUUGCCUUCCAGUAUGAUGAUUUUGUAACGGGAGAUGCAUGUAUAUUUAUUAUUGUGAUGAAACGACAGCUUUUUUUUUCGGGUCUAAAUGGGUAUCCAAAAUUACCCAGACUAAUCCCUUAGUUGGGCAGAGUUUCGCCCAAAUAUGCCCAGCAACAAUAGCACAUGGGGAUCGAAUCUGAGACCUUACUGUAAUUAUAAAUGAUCAAUCCCAACCGAGCUACCCACGGGAGCACGAUAAAACGAGCUUGUCAUAAAAUUCAUUAUUUGUGACCUAGAGUUGGAAAAUGUACACUUGAAAAUUAUUAUUAAGUCUAUUAUUUGUUCUUUUUCAACUUCAUGUUUAAAAAUGGUGAACACAUAUUUGUGGGUAAAUGUUGAUUUCCUUUGCCGAAGAAUCUCCAAUUUUAUUGUUCUAUGCAAGAUGUACAUGUAACGUAAUAAAGUUGUAACUAGGGCUGUGCAUCGAAAUCGAAAUCGGUAAAUCGGAAGUUUGAAAUUGGAAUUUUUUGAAAUUUUGACAUGAAUUUUUCCGACCGAAUUCGAUUUCGAAAUGGCCAAUUCCGAUUUCGAAUUCGAUACCCGAAUUUCGAAUUCACCGAAUUCAAACCUACUCUACUCUUAGUCUACUGCACUUCCUCCCUUCUCGGUCUAUUGCUAUUCUACUUCACUCUCACCGACCACUGCAAACUCCUGCCAGUCUAAGUCUACUCCGUUUUCUCCAACUUUCUCUACGCUACUUGUGAUUUAGUAAGUAGUACAAACUGCAAAGAGAAACGACCAAUGGAAGGAGGGUUGGAGCUGAGUAAAGUGACGCUGGAAAUCUUCUCCAAGCUCGAGCAACAGUGGUUGCAUCACUGCCAACCCCCAAGAAGACUCACAUUCUCAGUAUCGACGGCGGCAGAGUCGGCUCCCCCUCUGCCAUCUUCGCCGCUCAUUCCUUGAUCCUUCUCGAAGACCAGAUCCAUGCCAAAUCCGCUGAUUCCCAAUCUCGCAUUGCCGAUUUCCUCAAUCUUAUCACCGACACUGGCAUUGGAGCUCUUUACGCUGCAAUGCUUGCCGCCGACGACGGUUAUGGACGUCCUUUGUUCACCGCCAGGGAUGCCGUCAACUUCAUCGCCCAAAACUAGUCCCGGCUCUUUAAAGUCAAGGGCACCCUCACCCUUUCAAGCUUGCUUUUGGUUACCGAUCCGAUCGCAAGUAAAUGAGAUACUCUAAAUAUACCAACCCUGUCCUCUGUUCUGGGUGUAGUCUAUCGCCCUUUCGGCCCACUGAGUAGGCCUUUUUCUUUCAAUACGACGGCCUCAGCUUAUUCUUUUAGACUCGUCCCACGAAGCGGUUUGGAACUCGUUUCGUAUGCGGUAUCACCUCUUUAGUUGAUUGUCCCGGCGAACCUGAGUAUGCCUCCUUUCCGCCAGCCUAGGCUUCGGAAUUCUCGCCGACAAAGGUUCUCUGGCAGGAGCAUGGAUGUGGCGUGAAGAUGGAGGUGAAACUGAGAGUGAGAGAGAGUAAGUUGAGGAAGUAGGAAAUCACAGUGAGUCGGAGACGGAGGAAGGAAGGUGAGACAGUGAGUCAGGCGUGGAGGCGGUGGAGGGGAGGAGAGGAGAAGGAAGGUGAGAGAUAGUCUUGAGAGACGAUGAGGAAGAGGUGGCGAAGAGUAACAAGAGUUAACAGAUUAGGUUUUUGCAAUUUCAAUUGUUAGAUGUAUCAGUAUUAUUGUUAUUAACUUAUUAUGUUAUAUAAUAUAUAUUAUAUAUGUAUUGUUAAAAAAAUUAUAUAUAAAUAUUAUUAUUCGAAAUUAAAAUAACAGUUCCGAUUUCGAAUUCCCCAAUUCGAAAUCCGUAAUUACGAUUUCAAAAAUUAUAUUUUCGAAUUCGAUCCGAUUUCGACCAAUUCGAAAUUGGAAUUAUCGAAUUCCAUUCCGAAUUACUGAAAUUCCGAAUUCGAAGUUUCGAAUUCAAUUCGAAAUCGGUCGGUAAAUCGAAAUUUUUCGAAUUUGCACACUCCUAGUUGUAACUAGUUGACUAAUCUAACUAAAGCAUCCCAUAUAACAAAAGUAGUGUGUCUAACUAACUAAUUAGUCCACAACUGGUUAGAAAGUUAUUUGUAUAAAGUACUGCUACUUUCAAGGUCAAGAAUUAAGGCCCUAUUUAAAAGGUGAGUUUUUUGGGUGUUUGUCUAAAAUUUUACUGUAGUUUACUGUAGAAGUUUUUUAAAAAAAUUUUGAAGUGUGUUUUUUUUUGAAUAUUUUGAAGUGUAUUAUUUAAAAACUUUGAAAAUUUUUUUGAGAUUACUGUAGGUAAAGUUUUAAAAAAGUUGUAGCAGACAAACUUGGCAAAAAACUUGGCUUAAGUUUGGAUUGCAUUUUUCUAGAUCUUUUGUAGAAAAAAUACUAUAACAAUUUAAUAUAUGUGAGGUAAAAAGGUGAUUGGGAAACGUGUUCACCGAAAACGUAGCAAUUUUUCUUUAGAAAAUGACUGUCCAAACAAGGCCUGCACUUGACAAAAUUGUUUUCCCCACCCACAUUUAUAGUUCCUACUAUUUAUGUAACUUAAGUUAUAAUGUUUAAGUUGAUUGAACUGCUAUAAUCUUAUAACAAAGAGUAUAUUUGGUACACGUAUUAUUUCUAUCUUAUUUACACACACUGAUUUAUUUGUAUUAUCAACAAUUUUUUAAUCACCUUAUUUAUCUCACAUACAUCACAUCAAAAAAGUGCUACAGUAUUUUUUCACAAAAUUAUCUCAAAUAAUUUACUAUCCAAACACACUUAAAAUUACAUGACAAAGUUUAAGUAUUCAAUUUGAUAUAUAGCUUCCCAAUUGGGUUGUUUGUGUCAAUUGAGAAAUAUUGAAAAUCCUAUCAUGGGGCAAAGUGAGAAACAUGUUUUGUCGAGGGGCAUGUUAGUACCUCCAAAAAGAAACUACGCCGUCCCGUUAUCUUUGCUUCUUUUUGUCUGUUUUCUUCUCCUCCCCAUCUGUAAAACCCUUCACCGGUUCACCCUGCUCCAAGUGCUCUCUCCUUGGCCCUCUCUGAUUUUCUCGAAGUGGGUUCUUCAGUCCAGAAGGUAACAACUAAAGGCUCGCUCUUUUUCUCUUCCUUCCCUUCGAUUUUUAGCUUUGCAGCAUUGAAUAUUGAAUUCUGAAUUUCUUUUGACUGGCAAAAUCUUUGUAUCUGUAGGGUUUUAUUCUUAUUACGUGUUUGAGCUUAUAUUCACAUGCUUACAUAUUUCAACAGCCAUUUGGUAUAAUCUCAUUGUCUUGUAUAUCCUGUUUUUCUCCGUAUUUAAUUCCGGAUAACAUGGGCUAGUAAUUUUAUAAUGUUGAUUACCAAAAAGAGGAUCUUCCAAUGAGGUUUUUUUUUUCUCCUUUUUCUUUUUUGAUAGUGCUCUCGUUGAGACUCAGCAUCAUAUCAUUUUUCCUUGGUCAAAGAAUUAUUCAUUUUUAUUGCCCUGAUUCCCUUUAUCUUAAGCUUAUGCAAUCACUUAGUUAUGGAAUUUUUCUGGAACAUUGAUAAGCUUAUAGUUUAUCUAGAGUAAUAACAGGCUUUUAUGCAUAUUUGAUGCUCCUAUGUAUGGCUUUUGCUCUUUCCAUUUCCCUGCUUGAAGAUAAGAAGUGAGAUUGCCUGAAUGUAAGCUGCUGCAAUGAUUGAAAAUGGUGUACUAUUUGUGGAAGUGGUUAUUAUGCUAUAAAAUUUUCAAAACAAUUUAUAUCAUUUUGUAAUGAAAGGGUUUUGUGGAGGGUAAGAAAUACAUGGCAUUUGAAGGAAAGGGAGAUAGAAUUUGACUAAUAAAGAUCAAUGUUUGAAAAUUAUGUUCUGUACUUUCUUAUCAGAAUCAUUGAGCUGUUGCGUUUCCUUUAUUGAAAAAGCAGAACAAAAGAAUUCUUGGUCAGGGUGCGUCUCUUUGGUGACACGCUAAUUGAAUUUUGUGGAGAAAAGUCAUGUAGUUUGCCAUAUUUUAAAUAAAAAUAAGACCUUUCUUGAUGGAUUUACCUUUUCUUCCCCUCUUUCUCCUAUUUUUCGCUAUAAAGGUUUUAUGAUAGCAUGAAGUGUAGCGGUUGAGCAAUUAUCUAGAAAUGGUGGAUUGGUGGUGGUCUAUAGUUGCGGCUGCAAUACCAGCUGUGGUUGCAGGGCAGGCUUUCAGGAUGAAGAACAGGCGAGCGGACGAGCAGAGGUUAAAGAGUGCUCGGGGUCGCGAAAAGAGCUCAGAUGAAAUAUUUGUUUGUGAGAGGGUGUGUACUUCGAAGAGGAUGCUGAAGAAGGUUGGCGCAUUUUCUAAAGACCCAACUCCUGAUACUUGUGUGACUGUUUGCGGUGUUUCUGAGCUAGAUGCUUGCGCUGAUGCUUGUGCCCGGACUGUCUGUGUUAAUCAACAUCAAGUGCCUAAUUGGAAUGACAUUUGUCUUAAGAGGUGUCAAAGUGAGUGCCUUAGGCUCUCAAAUUCUUCUGCUAUGUCUUCAUAGCAUUGCUAUUGUUUUUAAAAUGGCCUCAGGAUUCUACUGCACCUGACGUUCUGUUUGAGAUGCGUAUCCCUUUUCAAAUUCAAGAUUUAUGCUUCUCAUAUUGAUGGUGCUUUCUUAUCUCGGUUUUAUCUUCUGGUUGACAACUUCAUGUUUUUUUUAUAUCAAGUAUUUUCUUUUUAUAUCCAUCCCGUCAUACUCCACUAAACUUGAAGUCGGGGGGAUUUUAUCUACCCCAGACGCAGAAUAACCUCAGCACAUGGAAGAUUAGGGAUGUAGCAUCCAUCAUCUCUGAUGAGGGAUGAUCAUGAUUGGCUCCAUAUUCAUACUGCCUUGACGCAUGGUUAAUGGGGUUUAUUCUGUCGCUGAUGGUUAUAAUCCAAAUGGUAGUAUGAGAAAUUCCGAUUCUCCUCUGUUAAACGCUCACCCAUGUUUGAGACUCUAGAUCUUUUAUUUCAAAUGAUGGCAAUGGGAGAUUGCUGAUUCUGUUUUGCUUGGUAAUAUUCUGAGUUUAUAUUCUCUGAUUCUCCUCUGCUAAGCUAAAUUGAAGAUUAAGCAUGAUGGAAGACGUAAGUUUAUUAAAUCCCUUGCAACACAAAGCAAUUUCCUCCAACAUGUACAUCUAUCUCUUAAGAUGGGCACACUGCCCUGGUUAGUGUUCUCUGAGCUUAAAGCUAAGAGAGAAUCUGGAAGUGUUACACAGCUAUAGAUUUAGUAGCCAUGCAGUCUCAAUUCCCUGCUCGUCUACGUACAUAGCCUUAAAAUUCAACUCUCAAACACUCGAGUCAAUAUGAAUCAACUGCAAGCUAAAUCCUUGCCAUAUUGACUUUAAUUUAGACAUGAAUUCGCAAGCACAUUCACAGCUACUACUACAUACCAAGAACAAUCAUCGGUCAUUGACAAAUUUUUGCCUGCAAAGAGCGAGAUUGUACAUAGGCUUCCCUACAUGGAGCCAGUUCCAGAGCAACAAAAUAUACAAACAUUUUAACAUUUCUACAAACAUAGGGCAUCAGAUGAACAACUAAACUGAGUACCAAAUACACUUCCGACAACCUAAACAUCAGCCACCUUAUGCGAAGGAAUCCAAUCAAAACGUGUCCAAAAUUUUCAGCACAUCACAACUUAGAAGCUGAUACUACUGUUACCAAACUCAGUCCCCCUCCCUUCCAUCCAACCAAUCUAUUCCAAUUCCAACUUAUAAGCAGGUUCUUCUUGAACCCAUCCACCUAGUCAGAUUCUUCUAACUCAUCAGCAGGAAAACACAUUCCCCGUGUAAUCCAUCGGAGCCGAAUUCCACCAUUCACCUCCAUCACCAGUUCGCCGCCUCAUUCCACCGCCAACCAAGUUCACUGCUCAUACAUUGAUCACAUUCUUCCUAGGCCUACCUCUCUUUUUAGCACUCGGAUUUGACACUCUUGCCACCUUCGCAGUCUUCUGCUCCUUCCUCCCACUCUCCAUCCCCACCCCAGCAUUACCACCAACAUUUCUAUUAUUGUUUUCCUCAUUACCCGGAAACAUCGGAGGCAUCCAAUUCGGAAACCCAGAAGCAUCAACACCCUUCCCACCAUCCAAAUCCCCACUCGCAAAACCCAUCGGAAAAAAACCCCAACAACAGUAAUACGCCUCUUUCCCCGGCACCGCGGCGGCAUUGCCGAAAUCUCCAUCCCAGUGAACGCCCUCUCGCAAUUCUCACACCUCAAACAACACCCCUCGUAAAGCCUGGGAUACUCGUAAAGAUUAUAACAGUACGGACACACCGUCCAAAACGUCGUUGUAGCCCCCCUUUGUCCCCUCAUGGCCCCACCACCACCACUUCCGCUAUUGCUCAAAUUACUCCUCCGGCCCGAAGCCCGGGCAGUGUGGGUGUAGAGCUAUUGACAUUGCUAGCAUUGUUACCAGCACCACUAGCAUUAUUAGCGGUAUUAUUUCCCUAGAGCUUCGCCGGACGGGCAAUUUCUGAUUGGAGAGAUCAUUCUUGUGUUGGCGCUGCUGCUGCCGCUGUUGUAAAUCUUUCUGCCUCUUCAUAGCAGCUAGAUCUAUCUUGGUAAAAAACGACAGCUCCUUAUCGUAGGCGGAUUUCUGGACGGGAUCGGACAGAACGUUCCAUGCAUCGGCAACGAGGCGGAAAGCGGAUUCGGCGAAUUCGAACUUGUUCUUGUCCGGGUGGAGAAGAAGAGCGAAACGACGGUACUGUUUCCUAACGAGGUCGGAGUCAUCGGUGCGGUUGGGGAGUUGGAGAAUCGAGUACCAGUCGUUGUGUUGGCCGAUACGCUUUUCGGAAGCUAGCAAGACUUGGGCUACGGCUAAGAUCUGCUCGGAGCCGUCGACUAAGGGCUCGGUUUCUUGAGCUAAGACGGCGAACUCUUUGCAGCCGGCAAAGUCGCGGUUGCGGAGAAGUUUCUCGGCGAUUCCUAGUAAGCGUUCGGCUUCAGCUCGGGUGGUGGUGGUGUGAUGUUCCAUUUUUUCUUGGGGAAAUUUUUUUCUUUUUUUCUGAGGUUGGAUUGCUUUAAAUUUUUUCGGAUUGUUUUGAGGUUUUUUUUCCCUCUGUCUCCUCGAGGACAGUCCGGAAAUGGAGCUUGGGAAGUUGGGACGGUUUCAGUGGGUGGGUUACAGUUACUGACUGGCUUUCACGGGUUUGGGCUGCAGUUGGCGGGUACAACUUACUAAUGCACAAAGUAUAACAAGUGUGUGUGGAUUGGAAAUUAUUUAAAAUAUUAUUGAAAAUAAUUACCGUAAGAAAUUUUGUGAUAUUAUGUAAUAUAUGAGAUAAAACAAAACUUGAUUGAAAAUUAUAAUUAUGAUGUAAAUAAAAUAAUAGUUGAGAUAUUUUUGUUGAGACGUGGCACACUUCUAUGAAUUAGAGGAAAAUGCACACCCUAUACGUGUGCAAAUUAAAAGAAAAAUUUAUUAAAAAAAAAGAACAGUUAUUAGAAUAAUUUUUUUUUUGUUGUUAGAUUAAAAAAAAAAGAAAUUUUUGGCAAUUAUUGCAUGUUUGUACUAUUUAACUUUUUAAUGAGAGAGUAAAUAAGGAAAAACUAAAAAAUGACAAAAAAAAAAGGUCCAUAUCAUACCCAUUUCUCUCCCUUCAUACAUAGUAAGAUGAGAUAUUUUAAGCACAAAAAUUACAAAGUCGGCAAUUAUUUAUUCGAUGGGUUCUAACUUUUAUGUGUUGUGUUAGGAAUCAAAUGCAUAUCAGGUGAAAAUUGAUAUUUAACCAUCCCAAAGGAUCAGCAUCAUCAUUUGGCCCUUGUGUCCCAAAUAAUGAGUUAGAGAGUACAAGUUUGUUCCAAGACAAUGUAUUUGGAUAAAGGACUACUUGGGAAAAAAUUUUAGACUAGUACUUUAGCAAUUUCUAGUUUUUAUUAUAUGGUAUUUGUGUGAUAAAAUGGUACUUAAAAAUAGGCAAUGAUUUUGGCACUCUUAAAAAACCUGUUAGCACUCCUUCCAUGCUAAAUUACAAUUUAAUAUAUGAAAAAGACUACCAAUACUUAUUUUUUAUUUUUAUUUUUUUGUGGCACAAAUAUUUGGAAGUAAUUGUAUGUUUCUUUUUACGUUUCUUUCUAAUUUGUAGUCGACUAAAGAUUUGAAUAUUUUAUAUGUAUCGCAAGAUAGAUUUUUGUCGGAUUCGGUGAUGAUUAUUUACAAGAGUGAUAGUUUAUCCUUUAAAUAUGAGGUUAUCUUUGUGAUAGUCGGAUGCAUCUGAAACUAAAUUAAAUUUUUUAGAUAGUGAUUGGUACACUUUGAGAGAAAAAAUGAUUUUUUGAUGUUUGUCCAAGCCACACAAGUGUCUGUUCAAUUAUGGCUCCAAAGUCAAAAAUUAAAACAGAGAGAAUUAUUAAUUCAAACAUAAUAGUCUUUCUUCUUCUUUUUUUUUUUUUUUUGGUGUGUGAUUUCCAGUAUAGGUAUUGGUACAUGACGUGUUAAUUUGCAGGCAUGAUCCAGAUCAAAACUGCGAUCUCGUAAUUCUCGCAGUUUGGGCUAAAAUCUUCUGAAUCAUUUAUGCGGAUCCGGUUUGGCCGAGCCUGCUUCCUUCUUUUGUGCUAUAUACGCACUCUUUCUAGUCCAAGCGCAAAACGAGUCGCAACAAAUCCAAGAGUUAACAACAUCCAAAUCAUUAGAGCCGAGUGGACAAAACGGUGAGUUUGGGUCGAAGUUUGAACGCCCAAAUGGGCAUCGGUGAAGAUUUUUAAUUCACUCUGAUUCCUGGGUCAAGUCACGAAUUACACUUCCAGAUGGAAGAUUCUUUUGUUUAGACUUCAAAAUGAUUUGUCAUGGAUGGAUGCUUGUAGGCUCUGAAAAAGCGUUGCGGAAGCAUACAUAAUUUGACACAUAUAAACGUUAUGGGAGAAAAGAAUUUCUUACUUUUAAUGCAAAUAUAGAGCACAUUCGAUUGAAACUAGCAUAAACUUUACUGUAAUUGCCUUUACAAUAACAAAGACUCUCACCAUUUUUAUUUUUUGGGGGGGGGGGGGGUUCAUUGGCGUAGGAAUAAGAGCUUUUUAGAGGUGGGCUAGUGGUUUCUAUGUGUAUAACGUACGGUUGGAAUUUCAAUAUUGGGCUCAAUGAGGAACAUUGCAGCAAGAUGAGCCCAGCUCUGAGUGGCCGAUCCUAAUUUUUGUAUCCCGUUGCUCUAUAGAGCAAUAGUUUGGUAACCCAGAAAUAGGGUAGGCAUGGUCGAGUAUUCGUCCCGUGCACCAUUUGCUGACUCGACCCGCACCUUGCGAGUCAGUCAUUUUUGACUCUUACCCAUCCCGUAUAUCAGUGGGUACCGAAUUAUCGAAUACUCACCGAGAUAGGGUCGGGUCAAUCGUACCCGUCCUGCCUCACUUAUCAUUUAAUUUUCUGUAAAAAAAUGAUUUAUACUAGUUUAAUUUUGUAUUUUACAUAUUCAUAUAAGAUUUAAUAAAUAUUUUGUUUCUCAAAAAAAGUCUCUCACUAAGAAACAAACAUGCGAAAAGAAUACAAGAAAAAUCUACAAAUGAUUUUUGUAAACAAACUAUAGUGUCUCAUAUUUGUAAUGCAAUUUGCUCAAUGAAAUUGUUUAUAUAGUUCUAAAAUUAUUAUUUUAUAGUAUGUGUAUAAAAAUAUUAAAAAAUAUGCCGGCCGUCGAGUACCUGCGAAUUUUUAAUUAUGUAACUUUAAUCCGCCCAGCAUUUAAACCAGUAUCCGACUCUCUUUGACACGAUCAAAUAAUAUGAAUCAGGUAUCCUAAUUUUCGAAUCAGAUCGGAUCGAAAAUGCGAGUUUUUUGGUUAGUGGGUAUUUUUGCUUUCCCCUACACAGAAAACGGGAAAAAAAUGUGGUUCCCCUUCCCAAAAAAAAAGAAGAGAAAAUACACUUUCGACCAUUGAAGUUUAGGCAGCUAACGAUUUGACCCCAAAAAUCUUAUCCAUGAAAGUUUUUAGCACCUGAACAUGGACCCUUUGAUUGAAUCUGCCACUUUGUAUAUCAUCUUUAGCAUUGAAGCCGUUACUAUCGAGAACACAAUUGGGUCUGUUUGAAUUGUGUUUUUCUAAAAAAAAUUUACCACAGUAUGUUUUAUGAUCUGAUAUAGGUGUGGUAAUUUUUAAUACGACAUGAAAACAUGAUAUGAAUCUAAUACGAAAUUAAUGGAUUUUGGUUGAGAUUUUACGGGUUCAGAUUAAAAUCGGGUCGAACCCAAAAAGAAAAUAGAUCGAAUUCAUAUCAUAUACGGGUUGACCCAAUAACCCGUUUAUGAAUUAAAAAGAAUUUAAUAAAUAUAAAAAUAUUUUAUCAACAAAACUAAGUUAUUCUUUUUUUUCCCAAAGGCAUUCAUCACUUAAUCCUAAAUAAAUUUGUUUAACUUGUAUGAAGUUGGAAUUAUUAUGUUUGGACAAAUAAUGCAUUACAUUAUCUUCUACUUUUAUAGUGUCUUAAUUUAUUUUAGAUCUGGUUUGGGAUAAAACACUUCUACAAUGUUUGAAUUUAUUUUAGAUCUGGUUUGAAAUUGCUUUAUCGAGAUUUUUAUUACUUCAUUAUAUUAUUAGUCUUUUGCGAAAUUGGUUCUAUUAGAAAUUACAGUGAUAAAUUAGUAAAUUGAAAUUCUGUUUUAGGUUAUAUCAGGUCAAUCUAAAAAUUUCAAGUUCAGGUCAACUCGAAAUUGACCCGCCAAUUCAAAAAUUUUAGGUUCAGGUCAGGUAUCUUGACCUAUUACGGAAUGGGGGGUCAUGUUCGAGUCAGCAGGUUUUUUGUUAUACUCGGGUCUCAAUCCGAUCCCCAGCCCAUUUCUGACCCUAUUGCCAGCCCUAAUAUGAUAUAUACAAGAUAAAAAAAAAAGUGAUUGCUAGACAUGUUUAUGAGAAAUUUCAGUAAUAUUCUCCAAGUAAUGCUCAAAUAUUAUGCAGGUAUUGUAGUUUUUUUUAAGUGUUGAAUUUUUAUUAAGAUUUAAAAUUAGAUAUUGGUCAUUCAAAGUGGUGAAAAAUGGAAAGUUAGGUGUCAACAGUUGUUAAGGAUAUUAGGAUUUCAAGUAUUACGACCAUUAUGGCUCAAGGGUGUCGGCUGCGAAGUAGCAUUUGUGGAAAUAUUUACUUCACGUUUGAUCGAUGUGCCGUAUAGUCGUGACAUUGUACUAAAAGCAAGGAUGCAAUGCAGAGUAUAUUUUCUUGUUUUUGGAUUGCAGAGGAAAAAUCUCAGGCAAACGCCAAAAUGGCAAGUGCAUGCAAUGUACACUAGAUCCCACUUUACCAAUUCAAUCCUUCACUUUUAAACGCAAUUGAAGACCUUUUUCUGUAUUUAUCUGAGUUGGAUCAAAAAUGAGAGAACAAGUAGUUUUCAUUCACCUUCUUUUCUUGCUUUCCUUUUUCCUUUAUAACAUUCGGAUCCAUAUGGAGCCUAACGGGGAAAGGGGAUGGACAAAUUAUCUCCAAAUUUUCAUCUUUAUGAAAAGUUCUUUGACCAUUGAACCUCUGUACCUUGUUUAUAACUAAUAAACUACACAGACGACGAAAUACCAAUUCCACAUGUAAACAGUAAAGUUCCUCAAUAUUCUGCUAAGAAUCGAAGCGAAAAGCGGGCAGGACUAAAAGAUGUAGUAUGAUCAACAUCUCUCUGUCUUUUGCCCUAUUUGCAUUAUUGUAUGGGCAAGAUGCCACUUUCUUUGAUCCGCUCAUGACCUAUCACUGGGUAAAAAGCACCCACAUGAAUGCGUACAAACAUAUGAUAAUAGUUUUACUCCUUUUUCUUUUUUCCUUCCUUUUUCACCUCUUUGGAGCUCGAAAAUGUUGUGAGAAAAUAUGAUUUGGACUAGUUUGGUUUGUACAAAAACUACGCAGAAACAAAGGACAAUUCAUCAACUGUGGAAUGGAAGUACGCAGUUGUAUUAUGGCGAUAACUACAACUCUAGUAAAUUGUCAAAGUUUUGACUUUUACGGAAAUGGCCUCAUGUUUGAUUCAAUUGAAGAGGAUUUUGAACUAAACAAAAAACGGGCUCAUCGUAAAAUUGCUAUAUAUAUAUAUAUAUAUAUAUAUAUAUAUAUAUAUAUAUAUAUAUAUAUAUAUAUAUAUAUAUAUAUAAGUAAAUUUUAUAUACAUUGACAAUGUAUAUACUAUCAUGGUUAGAUGCACGAUAUAUAUAUAAAAUUUAGAAUUCAAAUUCAAAUUUAGAUUAUGUGCCAUGAAUCUAAUGAUAAAAUUAUAUACAUUAUCAGUAUAUAAAAGAUUAUUCCUAUAUAUAUUUAUAUAUAUCUUUGUACCGACCAUUGUCACGUUGGUUGAUUCCGAACUGAAAGAUUCACAAAACAAAAUUGCUAUAUAUCUUUGUCCUAAUCAUUGUGACGUUGAUUCUGAACCGAAAGAUUCACAAAACACAUCAAUUCAAAGCAGUAAACACCGGAUGCUACCCUCCCGUAAUAUGUUAUUGCCUUUGCCAAGUGUAUGGAAGAACAUUUCACUUCUUCUUCUUCUUCUUUUUUUAAAAAAAAAAAAAAAAAAAUUUAAACUCAAACUUUAGAACAAGGAAUCUAGAUGUGCGAUCACCGAGUUCUGUUCACCUUUAUAGGACAUCGCAUGCAAACAAACAACCUUUGGACAAGAUUCUGACUUUCUUUCUUUAAUAAUAAUAGGUGGAACUGAACAAAGAAAGAAACAAUAAUAGAUUCUAGUAAUCCUCUAGAUCUCUCACACGUGUACACAUGAGAAUCAUACGCUUAUGCUUUUUCUAGCAUCUGCAUAGAAAAUAUCUAAGGGGGAAGAAGGUAGAUUGGAAGCAAAGGAAGGGUAAAGUCGAUGAUCACUAAAUUCCAGCCUCAGCAAUCUCAUCGAUCUUUUUACAUUGUGCGCCUUUCAACUUUGAUUGAUAGCAACCGACUAACUUUUCUAUACCUUGAGUCAGAAAGGACAGAAAGCCGACUUUACCUUGCACUUGCCUAAAAAUGGGAAAGCCUAGGGUAAAAAUCACAAAACCAUUUUGGAUCACAUUUGAUUAUAGAGUUAAUUUCAUGAACUUCUCCUGAAAUUUAUCUUAAUAUCACCUAGCACCGCUAAGGUUUCCGACAUCUCUUAUAGGUCGAUCUCUUAUAAUUAUGACAAUUUGUGUAACAUUAAUGUCACCCCUUAUGUGUAAAAGCAAUAGUAUUAAAAAAUGAAACGCAUUGAAGAAGAGAGAUUAUAUUAUCUUUUUACUUUUAUCCUUGUGUAAUUUGAUUUAUGAAUUUUGAAAUUUAGAAAAAAAAUAAAUAAAUAAGGUGGAACAUUAAACUGAGAGAACGCCUCUGCGUGCAAGGAUAACUUCUAAAGCUAGUUCAACAUUUUAAAAAGGACUGAAACUUUGAGAGUUUUUUUUUUUGCAACAAGAAGGAAACUAAGAGUAUAGAUAUUGUAGCAAAGAGACACAACAAAUGUUGUCCACAAAGAGGGAAAUUAAAGCAAAAAAUUCAAGAGAUCAUUUGUAGUAUGGAGGAAAUUAAGAGCAAAGAUUUUUUGCAACAAAGGGAGAGAAAAAUAUUUUAGAUGGCAUUCUUGCUAUUUAAUUAUGGAUAUUUUAGCUUGCAGGAAUUUUUUUUUUUCUUUUUCCAGCCUUUUGCUACUUAGAAGAUAGGAAAACGUUGGGGGCAUGAUUGUCAUUUCAAUGCUUCUAAUUGGGACUUUUAGUCACAUCAUAACUAACAGGGGGAGAUAUCUGAAUUUAACCCUCGAUUAUAAGUGAACCUUCAGCUUUCCAAAGGGCGUAGUCAGUUUGCGAGAGAUGGGUUUCAUGCACGACCCUUUGGCAUGCAUCAAGAACUCCUAGCUUAGAUCUAAAACAAAAGUGCCUUCUUCUUCACAAUACCAAAUUACCACUCAGUUUGGUUCCCGUUUUUCAUCUUUAACAGUGGCAGCUCUUUCCUUUUAACCUUCUAUUGUCUUUUUUUUUUUUUUUCCUUUUGGGGUAUCGUCAUCAUUCCCAAUCCAGACGCUUUUGUAGAAAUUAAUGAUAGAAUUACUUUCACGUGAGUUUGGACAAAAAGAAUCAUGCAUUAGUUUAAUGUUUAAAAUUGAAAUCCCACAUAUUGGGUCUUAAAUCCUACCCUUCUCUGCUAAAUAAAAUGAAGAAUCGUGGCUCUCUCGAUUAUCAAGCUUCAAGUUAUCAUUCAUCACUAAGAUUUCUUAUCUUUUUCUCUUCGUUUUGUUCAAUACCCUAAGAGAUCAUAAUUAGUUCAUAGUAGUACUUUUUUUUUUUUGUGUUCCUUUAAUUUUUGGAAUCAAUCCUUGGAACAGAAGCAGACUGGCAAUCGCGCCGCCCGUGCUAUGCAUGGAAAAUUUUGCAGCAGAGCAUUUGAAUCUCAGGCAAGAAAAGAAUUGAGAUUGCUAUAACUUAAUUCUACAGAUGCUGCAAAGAGAACGAUUAACAAAUGAUGCUAUAAUAAUGGGGGAUUGCAAAGGAAACAGCCUGCAGCGACUGUUUGUUUUACUAGUAAGAGGGUAGCUCCUGCAGGUUGGAUCUAAAUAGGAUUAUCAGUGGUUCCGUUUCGGAAUGUUUUUGUUUACUUGAGCAAAUUGUAGGCCUUUCCUUCAACCAUGUAAAUCACUGAAAACACAAUAUAAACUUCACAAUAUUUUAUAUAUGGACCCAGCACACUGUGCUAAAGGAAAAAGCGGUAAAGUACAUGAUCUGAACCUUGUAUAUAAAGUAAAUCUUAUGUAUAGAAUUCUGUUACGGCGGUGAAUUUUGUUAACUUUAACGAAUUCUGUUAGUUUAUAAUGUAGUUCAAAACAUGAGAUGUCGUUUUAUAUGUUUUGAAACCACGGAGGACUUUUCUGUGUAUUAGAUAUAUUACAGAGGGUUUUUUUGUUUCUUCCGAAAAAUGCUGCUGCUACGACCGUUUCUGUCCCUAAUUCAUCUAAAACAAAAGGAUCCUUUGAUUGUAAAUAGUUUAAGCACACGUCGUUUUUAAAGCGUGGUCGUACUCAUUUUAUAUUUGAAAUACAUAAUCUAAAGAAGCCUUUUAGUUCAUUUUUCUUUUGUCUUGGAUGAGAAAGCUGCACCACAUAUGCGUAAAAAUCGCACAAACAUCCCUCCUUUCUCUCAUAACGAGAAGUUACUCCGUAAUUAAAUGCCCUUGAUUUCGCUUCCUUCACCCAAUGAGAGUAUAGUGCUGCCUGCUGCGAUUGAUUAGCGGCAAGAUCAGUAGUCAAUAAUGGUAGCAUGCUCGAGUUUUUCCCCUCUUCCCCGGAAGAUGAAUCCUUUAGCAUAAUUAAUCAUCUGGAUGAUUUAGAACGUGCAAAAAAGCACCAUAAUAAAAUGAGCUUUUUGAGAGUUUUAUUAUAGAAAUAUAUAUUGUAGCAAUGUAAUGUAUGUGAAAUUAAAAAAAAAUGUGAUCGAAAAAUGUAUCAAGAGAAUUUUUUUUUUAUUAAAUUCUUUUAACAAGUGUCCCUGAUCACUCAAAAGUACAUUCAAAUUAUACCCAAUAAAUGGGUAGGGUCAUUAGCUUGUGAGGUUCGAGGUUCGACUCUCAAUCCCUCUCCUUUCCUCGUUCCCCUUCCAAAGGUUUGAAAUCUUGCUUCGAGCUAAAAAAAAUUAUGCGUAACUUACUAUGUAGAUACACACAUUUACAUUUAAUGCACCUCAUGUAUUUGGACAUUUUUCCAAAUUAAUUUCACUACUGUCAAAAAAUUAACACCUGAGACCCGAGUAGACUCUCUUGUAGUCCUGAGACACCUGUUAACCAAACCCUUGUUUAUUAAGCAAUACGGUUUUACAUGCGGAAUAUUAGUGUAUUAGAUGAUAACUUUGAAUGGUUGUAUUGCUUUUAGAAGCCUAAUCAUGGUACAAAUGGUAUAAGUUCUUAAAGAUCACGUUCUAACAUAUUUCAGCGAUGUACGUGCACUCUAAAGUGAUCUAGGAAGAUGGAGCUGCAUGGCCAAAAGGAAAAGCUAGAUGAGUAGUCUAUUUUUUUUUUUUUUUUUUUUUUGAGGUUUCAAGCAAAACCCGUUGUAUAAGGUUUCUGAGUAUUGCAAUAAUCAAUUGAAGUUUGAAAAAUUAGAGAAACCUCCCCAGACAAUAAGCUUUGGUAAUAGUUGAUGAUGUAAGCACAAAAAAAUCAACGAAUAUCCUAUAUUGCCUCUAUCUAAUUUUUAAAAUUUCACAGUAGUUAUUUGCUAGAAAAUUUGAUCCAUGUUUUAAAGACGCCGUCCAAACCAAACCGGAAAAUCGAAAAGCUGGGAAAUCCAGCGUACUAGGUACCUGACCCACAUGGAUAUCCUAUGGCCUAGGACGGGGGUAUCCUAUGGCCUAGGACGGUUACGAUUCGAUAUUUUGUUGAAUUGUUAGAACUAGGUUGGGUCACAAUAAUAUCAUUCCAUGGGUCUUGGUAACCGACCCAUGAACACCUCUUCUAUUAGCUGAUCAACUCUUUGUAAAAUUGAGCAAAAACUCGAUUCAGAGGAAUUGAAAAUUGAAUAUAAUGUACUAGAUCAUAUUACACUAUAACUUUUUGAUAAAAAGGUAUUAACGAGAAAAUGUUUCCUUUUUUAUCUUUAAAUUCAAUUUUUUUAUUUAGAAUUUGUAAAUUUUGUGAAAGCUAUUAUAGUAUUUUCAUAUAACACCAAAGAAGAUAAGUGUAAUUUUUUUCAAACUUUAAGGAAGGCGAACGCAAUUAUUAAAAACUUCAAAUUUAUCAUAAAUAACGUAAUUAUCCCUAUUAUCAUUUUGAAUCGGUAAAGAGAAUUGUAACAAAUUGUAAUUUAUCAUAAAUAACUCAUAAACUUGAGACAAUUUUUAGUAUUGCUCGUAAUCAAAUAAAUGUCAAUAUAUCAAUGAGUGUGUCUGGACAAGAGAUUAUUUAUUCAAAUAUAUUUAUUUACAUCAUCAUUACAAUUUUUAAUAUAUUUUUUUAUCUCACAUAUAUUACAAUACAAAAAGUGUUAUCUCAAAUAAUUUACUAUUCAAACACACUCAAAUGGACAAUUAAUCUGGACGUACAUUCUGAAGUCUUGAAUUUUUAACCAUACCACGACCUUCCAUCAUUUGAGACGGCCGUCAACUGUUGCAGCCUUGACUUACACGACGAGUUAUCACCAGUCACCACCAUACAAAAUCCGUGGAUAUGAGGUGCUGAUAUGCACAUUGUCCUGGCCAUAAUAGCCCUAGGUGAGAGGUGCGACUCAAGUGGCAAAAUUGUAGGCCCAUAUUUGAUUUUAUCAAAAGCUAGAGUAUCCUCAAUUCCCUCGAAUAGGGAUUUUGUGGGAUGGCCAUGAAUUGGCCAAAAAAAAAAAAAAUUUAAGAUUUAGAUCACAACUUGUGCAUUGAUUUUAAUAUCGUGUGUGUGUGUAAGAUUCACAAAAUUUUGUUCUAUAAUUACUAAUAGUUAAAAAUGAAUUAAAUCAUGAACAAAUAAAAUUACAUCUUGUAAAAUUGAAACAAAACUUGUCCAAACAAUUUGUCUGGCAACCAUUUGGACCCUUGGUCCUUAACUUCUUCAGGUGCUGAGGAGCAGAGUGAACUGUUCCUUCGCCCAUUACUGAAGAAUAUGGUGUGCUCGACAGAACAAGCUGCAUACGCCUAUUUUUGAAGGGUGCUUUUACUCAAAACCCUCUACAAAAAGAAAAGGAAAAAAAAUAGUGAUCAAAGUUAAUUUGAAAUUACAAUUUUUUUUUAAUAAAGAAGUGAUCACACCUAACUUGAGACAUCGAAGGUAAAUUUAAAGACUCUGACUCUCAUCCAGCUGCAGUCGAGCUAUCGAGGAACAUAACGGCUGAUCAAUCUUUGUUAUGGAACAUAACUGCUAAUACUACGUACAACUUUAGACCGAUCGAUAUCUCAAUCCCAAGUGCAAAUUGGUUGUGGCAAUGGAUAAUGGUCCAAAAGGGGAGCAUCACUCAGAGAAGUCCAUAUCGGUUAGAAGAAGAUACUCUCAAUAGCCAAUGCACCUCAAGUUGGAGCUCCCAUUGGCAUGAUCUGCAAAUCGACCCUCAAUUUGGAUAGUUGUGUGCAGCUCAAGGCAGGACCAUGUAAUAAUUAACUUCAAACUAUAGAGAAUGAAGACAAGUUAAAGCAAAGAUUUUCUCUUGACAGUGGUCGAAUGAAAAAGGUUCCCGUGUUUGUUUAUGCUCCUGCCGUUGAGUUAAUCAAGUUUAACAAAUUGAUCAGCGAGAAAUAUAUAUAUAUAUAUAUAUAUAUAUAUAUGAUGUUGCUGCCUAUUUUUUCUUCACAAAAUAUUUGAGGAAAAGAAACAUAUAUAAUCUGUAAUUUGAUGUUCUUUUAUGAUAGAGCCAGCGUUGCUAAUGGUUCAAAAGAAUGCUCAAUAGAUAGAGGAGUUGAGAAACAAUUACCAGUGCCCGAAUUGAAGUACAAAGAUCCAAAUGAAGUGUACAUUAUAAAUGUAUCGUUGUAUAUUUGUGUGUGUAAAGUCUACAUCCCAUACACUGCUGCAUGCAUCGCUGUGAAAGUAGCAAGAAAAUUUGGUCCCGCUACUCCUAUUUGGAGUUGAAUUUGAAUAAAACCGGGUCGUCGAUUGGAAGAUUAUUCUUCUGUUCUGUACCUUCGCUUUCAAUGGAACAACCUGGACUGAUAAUCGACAUUUUCUGCUUUAUGGGCUCUUAUUAUUAUUGUUAUUUUUUUAAUUUAAAGGGCUCUAUACAAAUGCAAGCUUGCAAGAAUAAUUGAUGUGCUUCUUGAAAGAAGACUCAAAAGAAGUCAUAAAUAGAGAGUGACGAGAUUCCUGCAGAAAUUGGGCUUUUGUUUCAAUUGUGUACAAAACAUCCUCGUAGCUUAUCUCAAAAGGCUAUGUGAAGUUUUAUAUGAUUAGAGUACCUAGUGAUUAAUUUCACAGUAUUACAUAGAAUGAGUCCCUGACACAAAAGAGAAUUCUCUUUUGUGAUGAAAAACCAGAUCAAGUUAAUGCUGCUAUUGCCAUAACGUCAAGUACUCAGGUGUAUAGUUCAAUUGCAUAGACUAUGCUAAUUGCUUGCUGGAGCCAAAUGUCGUGACACAUCAAAGGGUUAAGUAUACUCGUCCUGUUAAGUAAAUAUAGCUCCAUGGACGUUGCAUAAUUGGUAAAACCUCCAGAGUCAUGAUCAGAUGCAGUUAAUACAUAUGGUUUAGCCCUCAAACUUUAAAAAAAAAAAUAAAAAAUCACUGCCAACUUCGUUUUCCAGUUUGGGGCAAGGGAAGGAAGUAAUUGUUAUUAACGCAUGUGUUUGGAUUUUUCAUUCGAAGCCUUCAAGAUUAUAGACUCUUUUUCGUGCUUGAUAAGCUUAAAUCUUGGUAUUCUAAUUUAACACAAUUUCAAGCUAUUAAUGUUAUAAAUACAAUCUAGUGGAAGGCAUUAUCGAAAACAAAUUUGGGAAUUUUAGCUAAACACUUGCUUGGAAAUAUAGAUAAAUUAAAGUGCAGUUUGUCAACAUUGUGGUGGACAAUUUAGUCAAAUAUCAACAUUAAGUCACUAACACAAUAAAUGAGUCACCAUACAAAAUAGAAAUGUAUAAAAACACAACAAAUUUUGCUACUUGCCAAAAGUGGUGUCAACGGAAGGUUAAACACUCGGUAGGAAAUAGAUAAAUUAAGGGAUACUUUUAAAAACCUCUCUUAAGGUUUCUGACAAUUUCACUUGAUUCUUCUCGAGUUUAAAUAAUUACACUUAUGUUUCAUGGUAUAGUAAAGUACCUAGAAAACGUUCCAAUUUCUCUAUCUCAUGUCUAUUUCUACUCCUCUAUUUCCUAGUUAUUAUACUCUUAUUUGUUAUCUUUGAUUUUAUGGAUAUUAGUAAAUUGAAAUUGCAAAAUCAACAGAGGGAACAGAUCAUGUGUUAAGUACAUAUGCUAUAAAUUUCCCAAAAGAGAAACAUUAGGAGAUUCUAGAUUAUCCAUUCCUUUGUACCUCUAUACUCUACUCAUUUCAGGCGAGAUAAAGAAGCAAUACAAAUGUAGAUCAUUUUCAACAUAAGUUGACUCAAUUAAUAUAUAAGAAUGAAACAUAUUUUUACAAAAAUGAAAUAUUAUUGAAACUUAUAUGUGACCCUUGGAUGGAUAGGCAAUUUCCUACAAGUGACCUUUACUUCUGAAACAUAUGUCCUAACCGGUGAUGUUCGGAUCGCGAAGCACCUACCUUUUUCCUACCCAAAAAAUGUGGAUCAUGAUCGUGCAAAUUGGUGAAAAGACUUUUAGGUUUGUUGAUUAUGGUGAGAAAGUGUACGAAGAGGUAAUAAUGGCCAUCCAUGAUAGUGAUGCAGCGCGGUCUAUCUGUACGGACAUCUCAUCGUCCACAUAAUAUGAAAGAAAAAAAAAAAAAAAGAAAAGCCACACCCACCACAGGCGAGGCACAGCUCCCCGUCGUCAUUAUUUCUGUAUAAACAAAAAAAGAAAAAGAAAAAGAAAAUUGUAUUCUAGUUGAACAGGAAUAUUUCUUCAUUAAACUAAAACUCACGUUCUCCUUCAGAACCAAACUUAGGAUAUCCACAGAAAAAGAAAACAAAAGAAGACACACAUUCUCCAGUCUCUCUCUCUCUCGCACACACACACAAAUAGUCUACAUUUAGGCCGCUCAGAUUUUUUUCCUCUCCUCUUAGGUUUAGGCAAAUGUGGAAAACUGAGGAUAAAAGAAGCGAUUGGUUUUGCUAUAAAAGGGAAAGUGGACUUUCCUUUCUUGACAUGGGGCUUCUGUUCCCAAUUCUUCCCUCCCUCUCUCUAAUUGGUGGCUUCUUUUGAUAUUUUCGAUUCCAUAUAGGAUAUAUUUUUUUCUUGUUUGGAAGCUGGUGUUGUGUGUGAGGAGUUGAGCUCAACAGUGGUGUUAAGCUAAGAGUACAACUGUUUCUUACUCAGCGCACGAAACAAAGAACAUCUCCUGCAGCUCCUCACCCUCUCACUCCAGUACCCAAUAAGGUAAACAGUACCGAUCCCCCCAACCCCCUCAAUAUCCUUGCACACCCCAUCUCCCACUCCCCAGCUUGCAUGUUAAUGAACAUCAAUUGGUGGGCUUUUCUGGGUUUUUUCGCUCAGAUCUGUACUUGUAUUCUUUCUUUAGGGUUGCUUUUUGCUCACUUAAUCCUCCUCCUGAUUUCCUUGGAAAAAAAUUGCACCUGCCGGCGACCACACCGACCUUUUUGCGCCUCUUUCCUGUGCCCGUUUCUAUUUAAUACUCUCUUUUCCCAUUGCUGCAUAAAAUUAUUUGCCAAACCCACUGCUCGUGGUACCACACUACUAUUGCAACAUCUUUGAUGUUCUUUUCCCUCUGGGUGUAAUUAUCAAGGCGAUCGAAAAGAAAAAAUGGCGAGAGAGAAGAUCAAAAUCAAGAAAAUCGAUAACAUCACGGCGAGGCAGGUGACCUUCUCCAAGAGGAGACGAGGGCUUUUCAAGAAAGCUGAAGAGCUUGCUGUUUUGUGCGAUGCUGAUGUUGCCCUCAUAAUCUUCUCAGCCACUGGCAAGCUCUUCGAGUUCGCUAGCUCAAGGUAAAUCUAACCCUACCCUAUAUAUAAUCAUAUGGUAUACUAGUAACUUUUUAAUGCAAAGAUGAGAGCUGGGGUGGCUUCAUUAUCAUGUUCAUAUAUAUACACACACACACACACAAACAGAGACAGUAUUAGAUGUGUCUCAUUCUCCAUCUCUCUACCCUCUUUCCUUCCGUCUCUCUUUCUAGAUAUAGGCAGGGUCUGAGAAGAUGAUGUCAGCAACAUUUUGUUGGGAAGAUCGGCUCUUCUUAAUUCAGGUGACUAGACGAUAGGGAAUCAAGACUGUGACCACUGACAUGAGAAGUGUUUAGCUCAGCUCCAAAUAUAUUUUGACCCAAAACCAAACAACAGAAAGUAAUUUACAAUAAAGUUCUGGUCUCCUUCGUUACCCCUUACCCGUACUCCUUUUAUCUUAAGUUUAAAUAUUUACCGAUAGUAGUAACAUUUAAGAAUUGCUAAAAUUAGAAACCCUAGUAAAGAUUCUUUUCAAUCUUCAAAGUUUUCUUUACUUUACUUGAACCCCACAACUUCUUUUUUUUGGCUUCUUUUUACUCAGUUUCUUAUCGACCCAGCUCUCGGUUUUCCGUUCAGUAAGUUAUACUCCUCCUAACUUACUUGAUCACAGUAAAUAGGUCUCACUUGUUCAAUGGAUUUCACAUUUUCUUUCCAGAAUGUCUCUCCGAUUUUAAAGGGUACUAGACUAUUUCAUCACACUAGUAAAUCGCUCUCACUUGGGUUCGCAGUUUCUUUCCAAAAUUUUCACCAGCUCCCACGUUCAGAAGUAGCUUAAUUAUUAUUUGAUCAUAGCAGGAAACUCUUCUCCAUCUUGUAUAUCAAUCUGAAACGGUACAAUUCCAUGGACCAUUCUUUUUGAUUGACUUGCUAGAAAGGAGCAUUUGAGCUGCACAAUUCCAUUAGUCUCUUCACGAAAUGGAUGGCCGAAUCUCAAAAUGUUCAGUUUAAUUUUCUCCAGGAUGUUUACUUGCAUCAGAAAUUAAGCGGUGUAGAUUUCAUGUUUUCAAAUUCUUGAUUUUUAAUUUCACUCAUAGCAUUAGCGUUUGAGAGAUGCUAAAGGGAAGAAUAUGGAGUAGUGAAACUUCCUUUUCAUGCAAUUAGAAGCUGCUAAGUUAUGAUCAUAGAAUAACGAUUAAUUUGAAAGUCUAUCUUAACUGAGUUAACUGGUUCCUAAUUAAUGGUUCUAAAAUAAAGAAACGAACCAGUCAUUAAGAUCACCAACUGGUUUAAUUGGUUCGUAAUUAAUGGUCAUAAAAUAAAGAAACGAAGCAGUCAUUUGAGAUCACCGGUCAAAUCAAUCUUAUCAUUUUCUUCACCGAUUAACCUGCCAAAACUUUGUAUUAAUUGGAUGAUACCAAAUAAAUCUAAAAAUCGAUUAUACACUUUUGUAAGUGUAAACUAUAUACACUGCGCGAUCUUUAGUUGCACGGUGUAUGUUAUUCGUUGGGACAAUAAAACAGUAAAAAUGAAAACCUUUUUGUAAAAGAAAAACUUCAUAUUAAGAUACUUAAAAUUCUGCCUGGUAAUAUAGAUGCCAACGGUUGUCUUACUUCUUUUAAACAUCUAAUAUACUGUGGCAUGAUCUUGUGUUUAGCUCACUCCGAAGGAUGUCAGAACAAAUCAUUGUAGCUAGAUUUCAGCAAUGAAAGUGUUUUCCUGUCAUGUUUCAGUGGCUGCAUGUGAACUAUCUUUUAAGGUGUAGCUAUUAGAAAUUAAUGUUUGCUCACAAAAUCAUCUUUCAUCCUCAUGUGCAGCCACUGAUUAACUUAGCAUCAUUUUGGUUCAACUUCCUAUAUAGUACCUUGUCUUGCAGCUUAUUCAAAAGUUGCUUGCAUUAAAAAAAUUCGCUUGCCAUAUCGCUAAAAUAUGUCUCAGUUGGUAGUUUCGUUGGAUCAUUGCAUAAAAUGGCUCCACGCUAACAGACAACCACAAGAAAAUACUAAAAAUGGUCACUUGGACCAAAUUCUGUCUAGUUUCUAGGAGCCUGUAUCCAGUCCACUUUGGAUUCUUUCUUACAUGAGUUCCCUUUUUUGUGGUUUGUCUACUAUCUAAAUUCAAACGCAUAUUUUGCAAUACCUGGAUAAGGCAUGCAUAUGUCUGUUUUGUGGGGUCUAACCAGUAGAUUCGUGAUAAAGAGGUAAGAGAAAUUCCAUUGUAUUUCCCUAGUCUCUGAUAUGAUAUCAAAACUUCACUCAGGUGUGCCUCUUGUCAGUUUUUGUACUUGCUUCGGUCAUAUGUGUAAGUUCUGGAUACAGGAAGGAAUUUCUGUAAGAUUAAUAGUAUUCGUAAAAAGAUUUCUAGUCUAGGUCUGAUAAUGGGCGAGUCAUGGCUUCUAGGUUUGAGUAUACUUGACCGCAUUUUUGUGUACUCUUCUGGCCUUUCCUUAAAAAGAUUUCACAUAUGCUUGUGCACAAGGCUGGAAAUCACCAUUUGAAUUUCUCUUCUCUCCUUUAUGCUUUAAUCAGUGGUAGGAUUUAUUUUUGGUUGGGCUGAUAACUCAAUGGUUGACUGCAUAGUCCAUGAUAUGACAGGUUUUGCAAUUAGACUUGAGAUGGCAAAAAAUAAAAACUCAAACAAGCAUUUUUACUAGCCAAAGAUAAAAAGAUUAAAUUCACUUUGAAGAAAUAUAACUCAAGGUCACCUACUUUUAAUUAGCUAAUGUAAUUAUAUUGUAACCUAUCAAUGACAAGGUGAAUUUUCUGUACUUGUAAUUUUGUUUUUCUUUAAACAGAUCUUUACAUGUAUUUCAUUUUAUAUCAUACUUCUGAUAAUGUUUAUCUCUCGGUGUAAUGAACAUGUUUUGUGUUUCUUUCUGACAAAACUGAAAAAAGAAAGAAAAAUUACAGUUGGAAAUGAUUGCAUGUUGUAGAAUGGAUGAAAGAGAUCUACAGUCAACUAAAUGUUAGGAAGAGGAAUGUGCUAUGGAACACUUGCAUGGUUGAUGUCAUAAAACUACCGGUUCAAGUAAUGAUAACAUAACUUUCCUUCUAUUUGCACUGAUUUUUUUUUAACCAUAAAUUUCUAAUCAUAAAUGCCUCAGCAGCAUGUUGCAUCCCCGAGGCUUGCAUUUUUUGGGAUCCUUGAGCUUCUUGCUUAAAUACUUCUUACUCUAUAUUAGUCUCUCCAGAUCUUGAAUGGACCUGUGAAUUUGGUGGAAUGGUUUAGGUUGUAGCUUGUAUUUGCUUAAUACAUACUUAUAUAUUAGACAUCCCAGUCCAGAGGUUUGAAGCUUCGACUUUCUUUGAAAAGGCGUUGGAUCAUGGUGAACAGCUAACUACGCUAUCGAUUACGUAAAUGUUUUGAGUUUGAAUAUCUUUCCAAUCUCAUAGAAUCUCUCUUCUACUCAAUUAAUUGAGAAAUAUUGUAAAAGGUGUCUCACACGUUCUCGUGAGGCAAAUCGAGUCUUUUGAUUUACUUUAAUGCUAAUGGCCAACCUUUGCAAAUAACUGAUAGUUGUGCUGACUUUCUAUUCAUUGUCAUGCUUGUUAUAUGAUAACUAUGGCUUUGUGAUAUGUAGGGCACUGUAUUUUUGUCCUGUCAUCAUGAAUUAUAAACUAACAGGUCAACUAAGUAACUGUUUUGAUAAAAUUGAAAUCUGAAUUGUGAAAAUUAAAUAUUGACCCCUUUUGACAAGUGAGUUUUUUGAAUAUUUGUCUAAAACUUUACUAUAAUUUACUGUAAAAGUUUUUUAAAAAAUUUUGAAAGUGUGUAAAUUUUGAAUAUUUUAAAGUGUAUAGUUUAAAAUUUUUGAAAUUUUUUUUGAAAUUUGUAGUUAAACUUGGGAAAAAGUUGCCUGCCAAACAAGGCCAUUAAAAGUAUUGAGUUGCUAAAUUAUUUAAGUUGUAUCGUUUGAUAAUUAACUUUAUAAAACUGAAUUCAAAUAUCACAAAUAUUUUUUGACAAUUUUAAAAAUUGCCCUUAUUUGUAUAUUUGGAAAAAAAGAAAAAUGUGCGUAUGUGUGUGAGAGAAAAAAUAAUGAAGUAAUUUAGAGGUGGUAUUUAAGUAUGUGCAUUUGCAUGUAAGAGGUGUGUCUGCAUGCUUGUGUAUCUGUGUGUGUUGAAUAUAAAGGAAAUAAAUGUGUACCAAGUGCUAGAAUACUAUGAGUGUGUUAUGUGUGUGAGUGGCAUAGUAUGUGUAGUCAAUUCAGAAGAUUUAGUGAAAUUUUGUUACUUAAAAUUUUAUACCCAAAUUAAGGUGUGCUUAAUAAAUUAAGUGGUAAGGUAUUUCUGUUAUCAAACAUGCUGAAUUCAAAACUCUGAAUGAAUUAAUUUUCAACAUUAAGUGGAAUUAUCAAACAGACUAAUAGAACUUAAAACUGAACAGAUUAUUGCAUUUUUAUAUUCUAGGGAAUCUAUUUUAAAUAUUGUAUAGUAAAAACUAUAAAAUUAGGAUUUAGAAAUUAGAGGUCCUAGGUUCAAAUCCUAUCGAAUUGUCAAUCUCUCCUGAUUUUAAGUUAGUAUAUGUCCUACUAAAUGUGAGGAUUAGUUGUAAUAUCAUGUAUUGGCUCCAAAGUCGUGAGUUACAUGUAAUUUUAUUAAAAACAAAUGCUCUUUUCCUUUUCAUCAAUCAAAUAUAACUUGAGAUAAUAAGCAUAGCAAUUUGUUAAUCACAGUUGUAAUCUAUAGCAGAAACUUGAGGUGUUUUCAAAAAUAGAGGUAAUGUUAUCUUCAAUCAAAUUCUUUUGUAAAUAUCUAAUGCCUAUAUUACUUUUGGUGUAAUAAGUUGUGUACUAAAAUAGGAUUUUGGAAAAUGAAUUAUAAUAUGUUAACUCAAAGUAAAUUUACUUCACUUUCCUUCAUAUGUAAAAGUAAAGGAACUCUUAUUAAAAUAAAAAUGUCAAAUGCUCUCCAUAACAAAAAUUGUCUUUUAGCUGUUUGUAUUUUCUACUUUUACUUGGGCUUUAAAAUUUGUGGUGGAUGAGUUUAGUAUGGGAACAUGGUAUCAUCUGACCAUGAGUGGCUCUUUUCACGAUCCUUACCUUUUAAAUGCUUUACAGAGAAGGAUUUUAUUUUUAUUUCUCUUUUUUUGUGGUAAUGUUUCUUCAAAGUAGCGUCGGUUGAAGUUCUCUGACAUAUUGUGAUGAGAGAACAUCACAAGUAACUCAAGUCUCCUGCAUUUUUGUGCAGCAUGAGUGAUAUCCUUGGAAAGUACAAGUUACAUUCAAGUAACCUCGAGAAGAUUGAGCAACCAUCGCUUGAGCUUCAGGUAUUACAACAUGGCGUUGCAUCUGUGUUAUCUUUCUUCUAGAGAUCCAGUCAACAUCACGGGCUUUAUCUUGUUAACGCUUUUCAUGGUUUCCUCUAUACUCUUGGCUGUACUGAUCUCAUUACCAACAUUGCCCAACUGAUGAUUGGCAAAACUGUUGUUUCAUCCUUGAAUACAUUGGAAUAUGUCUCAUUUGUUCUGACCUUGCAUUUCAUCUAAAGAUUUCGAGAAGGAUAUUACCAAGUGCAUUGGAAAUUUUGAAUAAUAAGUGGUCCUGUUUUCGGUAUGUAGAGGAAUAUUUUACGAUUUCUCUUUGGUUGUAAAGUGACUAGGUGAACUUUGUUUCGUCUAGGGUGCUCGCGAAAUGACAAGAUGAAAUUUGACUAAAUAUUUUUGAGUCGAAAAUAUCGACUCUCUUUAAUACCUACUUUUAAGAUUCUUUUUAACAAGCUUGUUGAUUUUGAUAUGCUGUGAAUGGGUGCUGCUUUCUUCAAUCGAUGCAUUAUUCGGUUUUACUUUGCCACACGAUUACAUUAAACAAAGUCUAAUCUGAUUUGGAUGUUUCAUUGCACUACGAGAUUAGCUUAUGCUCAAUUGGGACAAAUGAAAAUGUACUAAACUUAAAUUGUUGUAAAGCAAGAUGAACCAUUGGGGCUGUCGGUGAAAUGUUGAAGAUGACUGAUGUGUAUUGUCCCUAAUGAAGUUUCUUCCUUUAGCCUCCUUCCCUUCUCUACGCUAGGAUUUGUUAGUACUCAGCCUUAUGCAUGCAUCUGCUGAUUAGGGUCAAGCAAAUUUAUCAUCAUUCCAUACUCCUCUUCUUUCUCUCCCUCCGUCUGUUUUUCUCAUGGCUAGCUUUUCUCCUCAUAUAUGUCUGUUAAAUGUAUUUUGCUACUUUACGCCAAAACCAAAGUAAGCCAUUCAUCUUUUUCUAGUUGUUCCAAGAAGUGCAAGUGCAAGUUUCAUCGAGUAUUUCCAUUAAUUGCUGUGUAUGCAUAGUGAUCCUAAUUUUUCUUGCUCAUUUUAGCUAGAGAAUAGUUGCCAUGUUAGAUUGAGCAAGGAAGUUGCUGACAGGACUCAUCAGCUAAGGUACAAAAUAGAAACAGAAAAUAAAUACUGUUUUCCAUAAUGGAUUUUUAGUUUUAUUUGAAUCUUAGCAAGAUGAAAUCAUUUGAUCCUGUGGAUCAGGCAAAUGAAGGGUGAGGACCUUCAAGGGUUAAAGAUAGAGGAGCUGCAGCAGUUAGAAAAAGUGCUGGAAGCAGGACUAACCCGUGUGCUUCAAACGAAGGUUCCCAGUUCACUUUCACUAGCUUUCAUCUAAAAUUUAGGAGGGUCGCAAAUUUACUAACCUAACUUCUUCAUGUUAUCUUAAUUCUAGGGUGAACGCAUCAUGAAUGAGAUCAAUGCCCUUCAAAAGAAGGUUAGAGUUGCAGACACAAACUUUUUCCUAUUAAUGCAUUUCAGUAAUUCUUUCUUUUGACAACUCUGGUCAGUAGUAAUAGGCCUCUAUAGUCAACAUUUAUAAGCAUCAGUUCCUAUACUAAGCUUAUAAGUCGCCUUUUAUCUUCUGGCAGGGUGCAGAACUGUUUGAAGAAAAUAAGCAACUGAAGCAAAAAGUACGAUCUUCUACUUAAGUAUAAAUAAGUUUUCGCUGACAGGUUAUAUUAACAUUGUAGCUGAAACUUUUGGCCACACAGAUGGCAAUGCUUUAUGAAGGGAAGAGGCCAGUGAUUCCAGACUUGGAUAAAGAUAUGCUGAUAGAAGAAGGCCAAUCUUCAGAGUCCAUUACCAAUGUUUGCAGCUGCAACAGUGGCCCUCCUCCGGAGGAUGACUGCUCAGAUACAUCACUCAAACUAGGGUAAGUGUCUUUGUACUGCCGGUGCUUCCAUGCUUGUCAGUGGACUAAUCUCUAACUUCCUCCAUAAACACAUCUACUGUUUUAUAAACAAUUGCAAGUUUAGCCCUGGUUAUUGAGAAUUGAACAAUUCGCCAAUCUGCCUCUUAAAUGCGCUGGUGAGGUUAAUUCUCUGUGCUUGAGACAAUUCUAAAGUUGGAUAGCUUUGUACAGUGAGGAUUAACUUCAUCUUUGCUAGUGAUGAAUGUUUCUAGAGGAAUGUUUAGCUAAAGUACUUCUUGAGACGUGCAAUUUAACUGCAAAUUUUCUAGCACUAGAAUAAAUGAAAGUAAUAGUUGAAUAAGUCUAGAAAUUCGAAGUAGUUUCAAAUUUAUUGUCUUUUUGACUAGCUCAAGUAUGUUGAGGUUUGUUAGGAAAAGAUUCAUGUAGAAUUGUUUCUUGCACUCUUUCUCUCUGUCAAAAGAGAGCUGUUUAAUGAGAAAUCUGAGGUGUUUUUCAGCCUUCAAUACCAAGUCUUGAUAUCCAUUUUUAUGCUCUAUUUUCCAACAGUACUCUACAGACCAAUACCUUCUGAGGUUCUUCGUGAGAUCUUUCUCUGACUAUAGUAUAUUCACCUAUAUACAUUGGCAUUAUCCUGAGUACUUUCUCCACGUUCUUGUUACCGUUCUCUAUUACUUGUAAUACACUCUUUUUUUUCCCUUUCAGGCUACCCUUUAACUAGCCGACGGUGGACAGCUUAUGGGGACCUACCUUUAAAAAUUACUAGUAACAUGGGAUCAAGAAAUGGAGCUCUCUCCAUCUAUAUGUCUAUAUGUUAUCCAAGAUAGUGGUAAAAGUCUAUGGUAGUAUUACUCCUGUCAUAAAAUUAAGAGUCUGCUGUGUAUGGCUGGCUCGAUUGCCUCCAAAGUCCUAAGGUGCAGUAAAAAAGCUCGUGUUGCUUGCACCUGCUUCAACCAGAACUCAAGAUUUGUACUCUCUUGUAUGAACUUGCUUCCGGGCUUCAGCUGAAAAGUUAAUCCUAAUAAUAUGAAAUACUACUGGUUGAACUAUUUAUCUAGAGAUGGCAUGAAACAACUACUAUAGUGAAAGGUAUAUUUCCUAGCUUGCCCGGAUUCCACCGAACAAGUAAUUACGCUAGUCUUUUAAAGACUUUGUUUGUCGAUUACCAAGUACAAGCGAGGAUGAAGAAAUGAAACUCGAAAUUAUAUGAGAUGGUUUUGGGCACGAAUAUCUAGAAAUAAGGAUUUCUAUUCGGUUCAAAUUGAUUGAUAUAUUCUUUUCUACUUUUAGUAUAAUUUCAAAACUUUUAAUUCAUAUAACAAAAUUGGUGUAAAAUUUACGAUUAUACAAAAACUCUACGAGUUUGUAGCAAAGGUAACAAGAAUUAUACGAAUCAAUGUAGGUUGGAUAUGACUUUAACUUGUAAGACACUUGGAUCCUAAAUAUCCACCUCAUUGGAUAUGACCAGAAGACGAAUGAAAUUCAAAGCGCUCAAAAUGGUCAAAAUUCCAUAAGCCAAGAGAACUAUAAAUGCAAAAAAUUAUCUAUUAAUAUACUUGUUCCAUAAAGUAUGAAUUAUGUGUUUUUGGACUGCCAAUCAUUGUUAGUAUAAUAUAGAACGGGUAUAAUAUAAACUAUAAUAGUACAUAUUUAUAUUAUACAGAUUUUUCUUCAAAUGUAUGAUUAGAAGUUUGGCACAAAAACACGAGUUCAGCAAAAACUCAGACAUGAAUAGUACGAAUAUAUUUGAAAUUUAUGAAGCUAAAAUAAUUUGUUUGGAUAGAGCAUUAUUCCAAAUAAUUAUUUGCAAUAAUUACUGCAACACUUUUUGUGAUGUGAUGUAUGUGAGAUAAAAAUGUGGUUGAGAAUAUAAAAAAGUAAAUUGAAAAAUGUGUUUGUAAUACAAGCGAAAUUUUUUUUUGGAAAAAUUUGCUAUAUAAACAUAUAAUUUUUAAAUAUUAUGGUACAUAUACCACUUUUUAACUCUUACUCUUGUAUAUUAGCCACUGAAUUUAUUAAGAUUUUACCACCCCAUCAUGUGUGCGUGUAUAAAUAUAUAGAAAAUAAUGACGUACAUAGAUGUCAUUCUACAUAUAACAUAACUGAGUAAUAAUGAUAUACACAAAUUUAAAACUUUUCCAAAUAUUUGAAGUAUAAUAUGCCAAAAGUUUAUUACGUGUUUUGUGAGGUUAUAUGAAAAGUAUAACUAUUUCUAAGCCAUACAAAUUUUUUUUUCUGAAUUAUACGUACUAACGUAUAGUAUAUCAACAGUAUCAGUACUCACUAGGAACAUGAAGAUGUCGAAAUUUGCUGUGGAAAUCAAGCGUCACAAUAAUCACUUUUGGGUCCACAUGGAAUUACUCCUUACUAUAGGGGCUAAAGCAAUACUAAGGAAACUUUUUGGGGGUUACAAAUGGCAAUGUCCCAUGUUAUGUCAGUCUUUACCAUAAAUAGGCAGAGCUUUUCCCACCCAACUACAAGACGACGCUACCAUUCUGCUUUACUUUUGUAUCAGUCUUUGGGGAGUGGGAAUCCAGUGGGCCGGUGUUACCUUUUCAGGAAUCUCUUGAUGCUAGGGAUGACAACGAGGAUUUUUAGGGGGGAUCCCUCCCCGUCCCCAACCCGUUGCCAAAAACUCCCCCUCCUCCCGUUUUCAUUCCCCCACCCUCUGCCUUGCCUCGCUUUUCCUGCGAAUGUCCACGGAUGAUAAUUUGGUUUUUUUUUUUCUAACAGCUUGUAUUCAAUAGAUCAAAACUAAAUUCAAAGAAUAAAAUAAAAUAUGAAACUGAAAAAAGUGAAAAAUUAAAAGUGAAACAAAAAAAGUGUUGAAAUAAAACACCAAGAAAAUUAAAAACUCAAUUGGAUUGUAUAGAUAACAUUUGGGAAUACUUAUAGAAUACGUAAUAUGUUUGUGCUAAAUAUCAAUUAGGAAUUUGGAUAGAAAUGAAAUAAAGAUUAUAUUUAGUUGUCAAAUAUUUUAAAUUUAUUAUUAUUAGAUUAUAUAAUAUAAUAUAUUUAUUUAUAUUAAUAAAUUGAAACGGAGAACGGGGCGGGAGUUGAUCCCCGUCCCUCACCCCAUUUAAAAUGGGAGAGAAAAAUUUUCUCUCGUUCACGCCCCAUUACUCCCCUGCAGGGGCAUUUGCCCUGUUGUCAUCCCUAAUGCUAACCUUAUAAAAGUGAUGAGGUUGGGGUUUGGGCCAUUGCCUUGCUAAAGGACGUCCAAACUCUCUUGGUCUGGGCCCUUGUUAUAAGGCCUGUAAAACAUGGUCGACUCCACAACAUUCGGAAUCUUGAAUUUUUUUGUUAACUUUGUCAUGGUUCAAUCGAAACUCUAAAUCUUAAAAAUUAAAAUGUAAAGUGGGAAGAUCUGAGAGUUAAACUAAUAAUUUCAUGGUCAACUAGCUAAUACUAUCACUAUCAACUUUUUUUUUCAUUUUUUUUAGCAGGAGAGAAGCGGGAAGGGGACAGAGAUUUGAAUCUAGAAUCUCGAUCCUUAGCCACUAGACCAAAAUCUCAUCGAUAACGUCACAACCAGUCUUUUUUUUUUUUUAUUACUACAUAAAACAAACAGAUGAGGGAAUGAUGUUUCAAAAGUCACAUGUCAGAAAAUUUUGAGAAUGCAAUCUAGUUCAGGAAUUUGAUUGUGAUUGGUAUUGGUUGCAAAAUAGGGGGCUUUUUUUUUGAGGGAUAAAAAAUUAGGGGGCAAAAUUUGGGCCAAUAAGAUGAGGAUUGGAGCCCAAAUCAUUAGAAGGGCCGAAGGUGAGUUAUAAUUUAUAUAGAUAGAGGAGGUCCUAUAGUUGGGCUUUGCAAAACCGAUUGACAGAGGAAAUAGCUACCAUCAUCGUCCUAAGACAAGAGGGGUGUUGCCAAACGUGAGAUUUGUCAUCGAAGAAGAAGCCAGGAUCGUGAAGAGAUCCAUUGAAAUCAACUCGAAGAUGAAGAACUCAAGUUAGAGGUUAACAUAGCAUAGAAUUUAAUACUAAGAUGAACAACAGAAAUCAGCAGCAAUUGCAAUCUCAAACUCGAAGAUGGGCUUUGGGAGGAGCGUUUGUGCUGCUACUACCGAAUUUGUUUCCCGGCCUCCUCACUCCGCUGGGCCGUGCUUAUCCCUCCCUCUUCUCUGUAAUGUCCCUGUCUUUUUCUUUCUUUUGUGGUCAUUUUUUAUUGCAUUUGGAAGCUUUUUUUUUUCCUUGAAUUUGAUCUCCUGAAGAGUUAGUUGUACGAUGGUUUUUUUUUUUCCUUUUAGUUUCUGGGAUUGUUGAAGUUUGGAUUUUGUUUGGCGGGGGUUUUUCCUUUCAUAAUUUGCUGAUAUAGUCGAGAUAAGUGCAUUUUUCUGUUGUUUGGACUAGUUGUAAUUUUUCGUUUGGAGAGUUUUCUUGGGGAUGCCAGGAAAUUGAGAAGACUGUAGUUUGGUGGUUUAUAUUAUGAUGAACUGAGUUUAUACAGCCCUGCUGUCUGGAUAAAUUUGAUUGCUACUUUUCCCUCUGAGCCUAAUGCAGAUUUUAUUUCGUUUAGCUAUAAAUCAUACGAUGAUUGGCUAUUUGACGAGCUUAAGAGCUUGGAAUGCUCAAACUUUUGUUGCAACUUUCUACUUGCAAAUCAGAGCAACUACUCUUUGCAUUGAUGUUUUAUGUCACACAGAGGUAUCUUUGCAAUUUUAGGAAUGGAAUGCUCCGAGACCUAUGCAUUUGGAAUUGAUGAAUGGGGCUUUACAACAACAAACAGUGAGUAGGUGCUAAGUUUAUAGCUUUGGUCCAGAAAUGAUCUUGGAACUUGGAAUUAGUAGUUCUUUUGAUCUGUUUUAUCGUUCAACUUUCAGUCUGGUGAACAAGAAUCAGAACUCUGGUCUCCUUGCCCGACCAAGGAUGGAAACGUUGUGCUGACUCACAUGCUAAAUCUUGUGAGUCCUUUCAGUUUGCUAAUUGUUCCUUGUACCUUGUUGAUGUUUCGCCAAUUUGGCUCAUAAACUUUCUUGGAGAAAUGUGGCCCAGUUUCUUUGUCUUCUGAUGGUCCAAUACAAAACUGUAUUUGCUUUUGUAGCUUUGCCCAAAAAGUCCCAGGGCUACAUUCAAGUGUUUCUUGAUGGAGGACUGAAUCAGCAGCGAAUGGGGGUAAGGUGGCUUCAGUUGUAGCUUCUGUUGUGUAUGAUAUCUUGAGUUAUCUGUGAAUUGCUUAAAAGAAUUCUAUAAUGAUAUCAAUAUGUAAUGUCUUUUAAUACUUACUUAAUUUCCCAUUUGUCCCUUUUGAAGAUUUGUGAUGCCGUAGCUGUUGCUAAAAUUUUAAAUGCUACACUUGUGCUUCCACACUUUGAAGUGAAUCCUGUUUGGCAAGAUUCAAGGUACUGUAUGCUCAAGAUUAUGCGUAUUGGUUCCUAAACAUAAACAGACACUUCUGACCUGAAAUCUCAUUUUCUGAAGUUCAUUUACAGAUUUUUGAUGCUGACCACUUUAUUGAUGCCCUGAAAAAUGAAGUCUCUGUAGUUAAAGAUCUGCCAAGUCAAUAUUCUUGGAGUACACGAGAGUAUUAUGCACGGCAUAAGAGCCACUAGAAUCAAAACAGCACCUAUGCAUGCACCUGCCACUUGGUAUCUGGAAAAUGUUUUGCCUGUAAUGCAGAGGUUUGUGGAAAUUAGAGCCCUGCAUGCUUGGUGUUAUUAGAGUGGUGGCCAAGACGUCACAUUUAAGGCUGGUUAAAUGCUUAUGCUUAUCUCUGUUGUGGAAUAUAUGUCACUACUGUUUCUUUUUUUCUUUUAACAAUUGCUGUACAAUCCUAUUACCAUUUAAUUCAAAACACUAGGUAUCUGCUAAAAAGAAUCGUUGUUUACAAGAUUGAUUGACUCAAAACCAUUUCAAAGGAAAGAACCAGUAUCCCAAUUCUUAGCAAGGCUUCUUUUUAAGGCAUCAUUUACUCAUGGAAAUCCUGGAUCAUUAAACUCUGUUCACCUGAUGUGGAUGCUGAAUUGAAGAUAAUAACUUAAAUUCUGUUCUCAGUUCUGAUGACUUCUGGGCUUCUAUUUCUUUGAAUUGACUUCAAUAAGGAAAACAUGAUGGUUGUUUGGGGAUUUUCCAAUAAUUUAGAUCAGGUGAAUCGAAAGCUGUUGAUGUUGCUGUUUUUGGUCCUUGUUAUAUGGUUCCAAUGAAAAUUAGUGCUUCCUCAUCCACGUAAUUUAUGUCAAUGUUAUAGGAGCAUAAAUAUUGUUUAUAGACUGAAUCAUAAAGAUCCCAAUCUUUCACUUCUAAGGUUUCACCUAUGAGGCGUGUUCUUUCUAUCAUCAUGUCAUUGGAUAUUGUUCUAGAAAAUAUCUACGCCAUCUGGAAGUAAAUUUGGCAAUCAUAGAUGGAUCUAGGGAGGGUGGGGCCCCACAGUUUCCUAGAAAAGAACAAUUUCUUUCUCUUUAGAAAUGGAAAAUUUUCAAAAUGUGUCCUAUAGAAGUUUAAGAUUUUCCUGUCAACAUAUAUUUUCUGCAUCCAGCUAUGCUGGUACUUGCUCUUCUUCACAACAUGUCCAGUUAGAGUAGCCUUCCUUGAUUAAAUUUUCCUACAAAAUUAUUGGUUUGAUUCGUCCCUUGAUUGCUUGUUUAGUUACGGGAUUGCAGCUAUUGCCCCAUUUUCUCACCGAUUGGCCUUCGACAACCUGCCUUCUGAGAUCCAGCAGCUUCGCUGUAAGGUUAAUUUUGAGGCUUUGGUUUUUGUUCCCCAUAUCCGGAUGUUAGCAGAGACCCUCAUCAAUCGCCUGCGGUAUGCACCUAGUGGUGACAGGGCAGUAGGCGUCUCUAACUGGCAGGAAAGAUUAGAUGAUAAGCGAAGAGCUGGAAAGUAUGUUGUGUUACACCUGCGGUUUGACAAAGUAUGAACCUUUCUGCUUUAAGCCUCUGAUAAAGAAAUGAGAGAAUGCAUUGCAUGUUCAUGUGCAUAUGGCGUUUUUGGGGGGGGGUUGGGGGAGAGGUGUAUAGCUAAGAUAAGCUCAGUCGUUGGUUUAGCAUUGUUGUGGCUUACCAACUAUAAGUAAAUAGAUUACAUUGUCUUGUGUUGUAAUAGUUCCACAUAUGAAAUCUGCUACUGAGAAGUUUUUCCAGAUAGUUCCAUGGUGCAAUUCUCCAUUGAUUACCUUCUCAGCAACUAUUAUCUAAAACACAUUUCGUUGAAGUUUGAAUGCCACAUGGCUAGGCUGGAUUUUAGAAUUGAGGUACAUUUGUGUCCUAUUGCUCAUCAUGUCGGUAUCUGUUGUGGACAGGAUAUGGCUGCUCACUCGGCUUGUGACUUUGGUGGGGGUAAAGCUGAGAAAUUGGCACUUGGAAAAUACCGGCAGGUGCUUUGGCAGGGAAGGGUACUCAAUUCUCAGUUCACUGAUGAAGAACUACGAAUUCAAGGGCGUUGCCCUCUGACUCCGGAAGAAAUUGGGCUUCUGCUGGCUGCUCUGGGCUCAAUAACAGUACCACUGUAUCUGGCAUCCCACAAGGUUGAUUGUGGAGAUUGGAACUUAAGUCAUUCUCCACUGUACUCCAAAAUGUGAGGCUUCUUGUUUCAAGAAACAAGUUUCUGAUGAUUCUUUUUUCUUGUGUCAUACAGGUUUAUGGUGGUGAAGCUAGGAUCUCAACUCUGAAAAAGCUGUUCCCUUAUAUGGAGGAUAAAAAAAGCCUUUCUUCUGCCGAGGAACGGGCUAAGGUGGACGGAAAAUCUUCUUUAUUGGCUGCUGUGGACUAUUAUGUGGGCAUGCAAAGUGACAUUUUUGUUUCUGCUUCACCAGGAAACAUGCAUAAUGCACUGGUAAGACUUGGUAAAUUAGGUUAAUUACUUGAAUCUGUGUUCUGUUAUGAUGAAUUGGAUUGCUGAUGCAACAAGAAUGAUGCUGAGUUGGAAUCUCUGGAAUCCUCAGGUAGGACACCGAACUUACAACAACUUGAAGACCAUUAGACCGAACAUGGUGCUCUUGGGCAAGCUCUUCCUAAAUAAAACCUUGGAAUGGUCAGAUUUCCAGCAAGCAGUUAAGAAUGGGCACAAGAAUAGACAAGGGCAACUCAGGUUAAGAAAAGAAAAGCAAUCCAUCUACACCUAUCCUAUUCCUGAUUGCAUGUGUCAAGCAUAGUUGAUUCUGAUCCAAACACAAAACCUUGUUUGGCCCUCUUUCUUCAUACUAUAAUCCAGGCCGGUAGUGGCUAAACAUUGAUAAUGGUAAGUGGAACUCUUUCAUCGCUGUCUAUGACUUGUAAGAGAAAGCAGAAGACUACUUGGACUUCACCCUUACCGCGAUGUGCUGUUUGCCUGCUGAUUUAAGAAGUGUGAGUACUCUUCUUGGCUCUGGAUUUUACCAGUGCUAAUAAGCCAAUUAGUCAAGUGCAUAUUCAGUUCUUCAUCGGUAGUUGCUGUCGGUGAUCUAAUAUUUUUGCCUUUCCCACCACGACAGUCUUGGCCUCCUCUGCGUGGAAUGGGACUGCCAUCCACAUGAAAAUUGAAGCUUUUCUUGGAGAAUGUAGAAGUUUUGGUUAUCAUUUCUGUUUGCGUAAUUUAUGCUUAAGUAAUCCAAUGAGGUGCAUGUAAAUCAUUACUAUGAUUCUAUGAAGUGCGUGUAUGACUAGGUCUGAAAUCAGAAGGUUUUAUUGUGAUCAAUUCUAUUAGUAGCAUAAUAAAAUAUGUGGUAUGUACCAUCGAAUUUCCAGCUCCGUUGCUUGAUUUGACACACUGACGUUAACUUGAAAGUUACAGCUCUCAAAACGACUUAAUCUAGUCAUUGACUCACUUGUGUCUGGAUUGUAAUUUUUUGGUUAAAAAUUAUAUAUUUACAUCACAAACAUAUUUUUGCACCAUAAGUGAAAGUAAUACAUAAUUACAUAUAUAUUUCAAAUAAUCUCUUUCAAAACAAAUCGGAGUAUUUUUAUAAUUUAAUAUUUUAUUAGGUAUUACCAUUACUACCAAUCUAUAUCCUCCUUUCCCCUUUUCUUCAUCUUCCCCGGCCCGGCCAUCCCCUCUCCCUCCUCUACCCCAAACCCCUCCCCCCGGCCCUUUGGUCGCGACCUUUCUGGUCAUGGGCAGAGGGGAGGGUGGUUUGGGAGGGGCAGGACGGAGGGAAGGAGAGGAAGAGGGAGAGAGGGAGAAAGGAGGCGGAUGAGCGAUGGAGGAAGGGGUGGUGGCAAGUAAAAGAGAUAGAGGUGGUAAUUAUUUUUAUUUAUUUAUUUAUAUUUUUAUUAGUCUAUUUGAGAUUUGUAUAGAUUAGAUGCUUUUACAAUUAUAUUAUGCAACAUUAUAUUUGAAAAUUUUUUUUUUAAAAAAGCUCAAUCCUCAUAGAUCCACAAUUUUAACUACUUUUUUUCACAUCAUAAAAUAUGCGGCUAAAAGUAUUGUUCCAAAUAAUCUCAUAUCCAAACAUAUCAAAUUUGUUAUCCAAUUUACUUGAUUUUGUACUGCCGUAUGGAUUGGCUAUCCUGAUUAGAGGAUUCCGCUUGCUGAUGGAAAAAGUUAUCUUAUGCAAUCAAGAGUAAAACCACUUUUAUCUCUUGGGGCUUUCAAUACAAACGGUCUUGCAAAUUCUGACCCACAAUAGAUUCCUUCUGAUAUAAGUUCAAAGAAAAAAAAAAACUCUUAACAUACUCGCAUAAACUUCUAAAUUCAAUGAAUUUUGAAUUUCUGAGUUCAAUACAUUCCCAUUUACAGGUGUUAUGAAAUUCAUAACAGUGCAAAACGCAGCUCCAAAAAACACGCUUUAUGCAUUCUGCACUUUGUUAAAAGAUAUGCCAGUACUAGACACAGAUCACUUUUCUUUUUCCUGCAAAUCACGCGGUCCUCCAUUUGGAAUUUCGCCAAUUUCAUCCUGCUUAUCUUUGCCUACAGUAGCCAACCCAUUUCCAUUCCAGCAGGCAGCUACGUCCUUGACCUCUGAUUGAGUUGGGGCUGGCCAUAUCUUCCUCAAUUGGAAGUGUCAUUUUCGAGCCUUCUAAAGCAACGCCAAGAACAAUAUUAUCUUCCAAUGUAGUCUUUGAGCUGACGCUGAUGGUAUAUGCCUUUCAACAUCUGGCAUUGCCUGUGAAGUGCUAGAAGCUACAGCUUUGCCAUCACGGCCAAAUUCUUGGACAGAUGGACGCUGUAUUCAGGUACCUUUCCUCCAGUAUUCAGACUUGUUGCAACAGCUGAAGCCUCUUCAGAACAGCUCUAUCAGCUACCUGCUUCACGGAAUUUCUUUGGCCUGGAUCAAUGGAACCCAUAUGUGGCAAGGCAUCAGAGUUGAAGCUCUCAACUGUUGCCUUUUGAUUGUUGUCAGAUAUCAGUUCUGUGGAGCCCUCAUCAUCGACUUUGUCAUCAUCAACAAUUGAUGUUGGUCCAACUUUAGCAUCCACCUUAGUCUCAGAUGUUGAGGUUGCUUCAACCUUCUCAUCUUUUUCUUCAUUAGGUUGUUCUGUACGACCUGUUGUCCUGAUUUUAUUGUCAUUAUUAACUUUAUAAGAAGGAUCAACCAGCAGGAAAGGACGAUUAGAUGCCGCUCUAGUACGACGGAAAAUGGUCUCAGAAAAUGGAAUGGUUUCCCAUCAGUUUCACCAUAUACUUUCUGCACUGUACGUAUGGGGGUGGCAAGCCGAGCUCGAUGGUGACUGAUCACUCUAAGGAGAUCUUGCAAGAUAGACUCCUAUAUUGAGGGAAUUACACUGAUUAAAAGGCUAUAUUUUCGAGCCAUUGUACAUGCUAUAAAAUGUAUUGAGACAAUAAGAUAAAUGACAAGAUGAACUCUGAGUGCAUUAUUAGGUAAACAACAACUUGUUGAUUAAAAAAAAAAUCUAGAAACUCGAGGAGAGGUACUCAAGACUUGAACCGGUACGUCACGGUUACCUACCAGUGAGCUAGGUCUUAGGGAAUGCAGACCUCUCCUGAAUGUUUAACACUAAAAGCAUGAAACUAGUAAAUGCAGCUCAGAACUACUCGCAGAAGCUGCAGCUUCCAGCAGACCUUAAUGACGACAAGGCAGCAACAAAGGCAACACAGAAGAUAAAUAGAAUCCAUACUACUAAAAAACCUAAUUAGCAUCUGAAAUCCCAUUUGCAUGUACCAUCUAGCUAAUCUGAUUUACUAUUAAGUGUUGCUUACCUUACACAUAGGUACUCUUCAAAACGCGAGGUCUUCACGAAGCAAGAGACCAUAAUCUGUUAUAUGAUACAGGCCAACAAAAAGUUAUUGCACUCUUAAAUAGCUACAAGCCAUAAAGCUAGAUGAAAAACAAUCAAGGCAAAAGAAUGACAAAUUUUAUUCUGGCAACCAAAGCAGAGGCAAGAGUCAGCAAACAGCUUCAUAUUGGCCUAUUCAGCUAAUUUGGUGAAUAUAAUCAGUAUUUAGUAGCUAAUAACAACUGAAGAUUAGAUGCCCCAGUGUCCUUCUGCAUAGAUCAACGCAUUUUUGUAUUUGAAUGUAACCUUCAGCUAUGUAAAGCUCAUUUCAUACAAGAACAAACAAAACUCUUCCACGAAUCAUCUCUUCUCAUCAGAUAAUGUAGUAGGACUACUUCACAUAAAAACGAGCCAAUGAUAACAGUUAUGAAAUGAAAAACUCACCAUGAGUGCCUGAUUCUCUGUAUCUAUAUAAUCUAGAAAUACUCGUCUAUGCAACUUCUGCUGCUCUAUUUGAGGAUUUUUAGCCAAAACCUUGCGCAUAUCAGACACAAUAUUCUGUUAAAACAAAAGGUAUAAGUGGCGUGAAAAUAGGAACAAUGCCAACAUCAUAGCAUUUAUAAGAAGGAAUAUCAAAUCUUACAUUGAUCUUAUUGACAUCCAAAUGACUUAUGGCAGGCUGGAUUUAAUUCGCCAAUGAGUCUUCUGGCUAAGAUUCCUUACCACAUUCAUUGUAAACUUGUGACUUGGAAUGUGAACUGCUUCACGGUCAUCACCUCUUAUAACUGUUGGUGACCACCAUCCCACAUGCUGAACAACAAAUUAAAUACAUUUUAGAUUCUCCAGACAGUAUUUCAACACUAAGUCACAUGUUCAUACAGUAUUUAAUGAUCCAGUUAACUCUGCAAGGAGUUUAAGAUUUAUAUGCAGAACUUUGUCACCACAAAUAUCAUAAAGAUUUUAGGACAAUGCAGACAAACCUCAACUGUACCAGAAACUUCAUAGCCAUCAAUCUUUGUCUGAAUCCAAUCGUUGAGAACAAAUGGCCGUGUUGCAUGGAUCAUUACACUUGAAAGAAAAUUUGUGAGAAUCUGAAGAAAAUGGAAGAGAACUAUUUAGCCUUAGAAGGAAAGGGAAGCUAAGACAGAUGCGGGGAAAGGUAUUUACAGUAAUUACUUGCACUAAUUGCUACAAAAGAUACAGGGAGGAAGGAGAAUGAUUUACCUCACGACCAGCAAGGGUUAAUAAUACUGUCCCAAGACCCCCAGCAGUUAGCCACUUCUGGGUUGAAAAACCAAGCAAUUCCAUGAAUAAUGAAACAGCAGCAACCCAUACUGCAGUAUAUACAGCUUUUCCAGCAAACUCAAAGCCCAUCUAAAGGUGCAAAGCAUCACGAAGUUAGAUUAUUUACAAUACCAUAGGCAAACUGACAGAUCCAUUAGACCAAAACCAACCAAAUGAACAAAAUGCUAGACCUAAUUGACAGUCUAUCUAAACACAUGGAUGGAAUUCUCACGAAUUAGGAUGCAUGUUAUCCGUAAGAACCUCUAAACAGUAUCACGAAUACGUGACAGCUGUAAACUAAACACCUACUGUAGGUAGUGUUUGUAGUGCAAAACACGAAAUCUUUAGUUAACUCAGAACCAAAAGGCAAUACCAUAAUAAGCAACAGAGAAUGUGCAUGCAUGACAAGGCAGAAAGACUAGCAUCUUAAUUACCCAUUAGUCAUUAAUGACUGGCAACAUAAUGGCCUCUUGCAUCAAUUAAUGGGCCUUUUCUACAAGUGGUUUUAGGUUCACAUUAAUUUCUAGUAUGCCAGAACAUUUGAACGGUUGCACAUGUAAUGAGAGAAUGUAAAUCUGUUGCAUAGUCUAAAAGUAAUCAAAACGUACUGUUCUUGCAUCACUAGAUUCUUUUGUUUCGACAAAGAACUUCUGAGUCUGAUGAAUCAAGCUGUCCAAAAAAAAAAAACCAAGAUUAGAUAUCAUACUCUAGAAUCUAUACUAACUCCAACAGAAAGGGCAUGACAAGAGAAGCAACAGACUGCAGACAAGGUCCAAUUACAGCAAGCACAUUUACCUGCUCACAUCCAUGCGUACAAGUAUGUUUGUAUCUAAGGGGCACAAAGAAAGGGGAGGGAGGGAGGGAGGGUGGGGGGAGGAGAGAGUUGCACAGCAGCAUAAAGUUGUACAAACAAUUAAAUGGAAAGCAGAGACUCGUCCUAAGAAGAUUGUUGCCACAGCAAAACAACUUAUAUUUUCAAGGAGGGGCAAACAACAUACAGUUACAAGAUCAUAUCUUAUGAUAUAAAGAGGGGGAGGGGGAAGGGAGAGAGAGAGAGAGAGCUAUGCCUUUAACAUCAGCAAAACAACCAACUCCAGUAGAAAUAAAACAAAUUAAACAACCAAUAAUGCGAACUUUGAGUUUUCUAAGAGAAAUCAAUCGUAGAAUGACCCUAUCCUUUUACUUUAACAGAAAAGAAAACAAAGAUAGUAAUAGAUCAAGUUGUUUGUUGCCUAGCACUAGAGAGUUUUAAGCAAUAAGUUUACCUUGAUAAACAGUAGGCAAAGGCAAGAAUAGUAGACAGUGAUCGUACAAAAUACAAAAGCCGUCGCUUGACAGCCUGGCUAGCUACUGAAGUUAGAAUCACAGGAUCAAGUGCUCUGCAGAAGUUCCAUCAAAAGGAAAAAUAAUCAGAUCGUCUAAAGACAAAACAGGUUAUAACAAACAUUCCAAUUUUGUCCCACUAGUACCUGCAAAUGAGCAUUGCUCCAGUCCAAAACAGCAAAGGUUGAAGAUAGGAAGUCACAAGAUUAUGUAUCCCGCUCUUUUUCCAACUACCAUCAUUCUUCUGCAUGAAAAAAUCAUGAGGGACAUCAGCAAAGUAUCAGCUUAAACACCUCAUGAAAGAAAAGAAAAACAUUGGGGUAAUGAUAAAGAAUGUACACUUAGGAAAAGAAUCCUCCCGAAACGCAUGAGCGGCCUAAGCCCCAAGCAGCCAAGGCAAUUAUACCAAUGGCUGGAACCAACUGAAGCACAGGAGGACUUCCAUGCAAAGUACCAUGUGACCUGCUAAAAAUGGUUAUGAGUUUAUCCAAUGUGCCGUCAUCUCAUGGUGCAAAAAAAAAACUGUAUUUGCAAUAAAUAAAGACAAGCUUAUGGUCCAUCCUACCAUUUCAUGACAACCAACGAGGACAACAAGAGGGAAAGGGGACCCUUAUAAGAAUCCCACAGAAAGCCUUGAAAGCAUUAAAUAAAACAUGUACCUGGAAAUUAUUUUUGCAGCUGCUUUCAGAACAGGAAUCUCAUUUCCUCCACCGGGUUUUAAUAGGGAUCGGCACGUAAAACCAUUAAAUUUAGCAUUAUUAGGGCAUAGGGGGCCAUGUACAUUUUUCAAAACGCAGAGACUCCAAGCAUCCUGUCGCUACAUGAUUGACAAAAUUAGUGUCCACACAUAAGACAACUUCUCUAAAAUAAAUAAAUAAAUAAAUAUAUCCCUCACAGAUUAGAGAAGUGCUGGUCAAGGACUAGGUAAAUUUUUAGAAUCCACGAAAUUUGACAAGUUCCCAUUAAAUUUAACCAAAUAUAUCGAAUUUCGCUCAUUUCAUCAUCCACUUGGAAAGUUUCAACUCCCAAACAAAACAUGAAUCCAAAAAGAUAGCAAAUAACAAGCUUAAGUAGAUAAUGGAUAUGCUAAAAAACAAACUUCUUCUUUGGUAUCAACAACAUUGAGAUAUUUGGGUUGGUAUGCUAUUCACGAAUUCCAAUCAGUUGCUUAGCAUGAAAGCAUAAAAUUCCAGCAGCAUAAGAGGAGUAAAUGGAAAGCAUAUGCGCAUUACAUACCACUGAAUAAGAUGAAAGAGACGAGCUAAACGAGUGUAAGCGGGUCUUCUCCAUCAUGCCCUGGACACGAACAAAUGAAAAUUAGAAUAACUUACUUGAGAAAAAGUUAGCAAAGAGACUGAAGGGUGCAGAUCAUGUACCGAAUGUAGUAAACCUCCAUGCACCUUAAACUGGCCAUAGUGGCCACAGAUUCGCAUUUCACAGGGCGAAAGCAAGGAAGUUGCAGCUGCCAUUGUCUCAACAUAUAAAAAGAAACGGCACAAUACCGAGUGCACAUCAACUGGAACUCCCCCUGGAACCCACCAUUUUCAUAAGAAAUAGAUACACAACCAAAAAAUCAUGUGAAGUCAAACAGGCAGGCAGACAUAAUUAAAUAACAUUUAUCCCAGAAUAAUGAUCAAGAAAAAAAUAAAGAUUCCAUUUUUAGCAACCCAAACAAUUAAUAUGCACAACUCUACAAUAGUAAAAUUUUCUUUUCUUUUUUUUUUAACUCUAUAAUAACAGUUCAUCAAAGACAAAAACUAAAUUCUCUAAUUAUAGAAAACACUUUCGCUGGACAACGAUUUAGAGCAAAUCCAUUUUUGUUAUAAAGUUACACAUAAAUUAACAAAUAAAAGUAUCCAAGUGCAUAACAUGAAGAAUUUCCCUCGUCCUUAAGCUUUGACAAUCUCUCUCUCUCUCUCUCUCUCUCUUCUUUUUUUUUUGGGGAGGGGGUGGUGGGGUUCCAAGGGAAUAGAAAAAGGUUGCAUUAUUUACUUAUUUAGCAGUAUUUUCUUAGCUAUCCUCUGCUACAUUUAGCUGCCAAAUCAAACAAAAUAACAGAAAAGGUCAUCAAAAUAAUCUCCAUCCUUCGGUGCUUAUUAUAUUCCCAGUUCCUCGUCCUCCAAAUUUCAGCUCAACCUUAACUGUACAGCCACAAUCCGAACAAAAUUUAUCACAAUUAAAGAACCCAAGAUUCAAAAUGCAGAGCAUCUUAACUAAUUAACCCUGCAUAUAUCAACAAGGACGACGAAAUUUUAAAUAAAAUAAAAUAAAAAAAGAAAAAGGAAAAGGAAAACUAAUGGCUUCUACCUUAGUUUACCGCAAAAUGCAAACAGCAAGAAAAGCGGACCAAAAUAAAUAAAUGAAUAAAACUUUGUUCGGAACUGAGAAGGAAGGAAAGAGGAAAAACUUGCGCCGGCCGGCUGCUACUGUUCCGUGGUCAAAUGGAACUACUACUAUUAUUACACGGGGCCUUUUGUAGAGGGGGGAUUGUUCAUUAUUGUUAUGGAUAAAUAGGGACUGCUGACGUGGGGGACUGAGAGCUAUGUUUUGUUGCCGCGUACGGCUUUGUCAGUCUAUUGCCUGUUGCUUUGCUUUUGCAACUAACCCACGUUUCCCACAAGUUGUUUUGCCUUUUUUUUUUUUGGGUAAAGUACAUAAAACCCCCCUGUGGUUAAGGAAAUUGACACGAAAUCUCCUUAUUGUUUAGAAACUCCCACUUAACCCCCCUAUGCUUUGGACUUAUUUGGCUUUUACCUGCUAACCGACUGAGGAGCCGGUAAUAAUAUGAAAUACCAAAAAUACCCUCAUAUAUAAUAUGUGAAAAGUUACGGAUGCAAUGAGUCAAUUUGAGAAAUUGCAUCUUGAAUAGGCAUCCCUCCAUCAUGGGCUGAGCAUCGUCCCUUCCUUUCCUAGCGGCAGGAUCUCUUUGUUCUUCGCAUUCGCUGGAGUAGCAUUCCGCAUCCCAAAACAUUCUUCGCUAGCAAGCGUUGUCCACAAAAGCAGCACCAACUCCAAAGUCGGCAUUCCUUCUUCCUGUUCCUGAGGAAAAACCCAUCUUCAAUGCACACCGUCUGCUUCUCGCCUGAUUCUCUAGAUCGUUCCCGGGACCAGCAACAACGAACGAAAGCCCAAAGAAAAUCCUUACCAGUGUAAACAGCCCUAAUUCAGGGCGCGUAGAUCAAUGCCAAAGUAAGCUAAAGCUUCGUCUUUUCCGUUCUGGGUACAGAAUCUCAGGGAUUGGCUCAGAAGCCGCAGGCGCUUUUUCUGAUUGGUUUGUUGCUUUGCUUGCUCCCUUCUCUUGCUUACACAUUCUGUAGCUUUUUUUGUUUUUCAAGGCUUUGAUUGCCUGUUUGAUUAGGCCUAGAUCUGGCUGAAACCUUUUCAAAAGGAGUCGAAUCAGUCUGGCGACUUCCUCAAUUGCUAACCAACUAAACCCAGAAGAGAUGCCAUUGUGGAUGGAAAGGCUAACUACGCAGCUAUGCGACAGAAAGAUGGGCGAAGUGGAUCAAAAAGGUAGAUUUGUGGCCCUUGAGAACUGCCUUUGGGGAUUGAGCAAGCCAGGGAUUAAGAGCGUAUGUUAGGUAGUUCAGAUUUGUAGCAAGUAGUGCCCAUGAAUCUGAGUUCGGAGUGAGCUGGAGAUGCUCCCUUUUCUCUAUGAAUUGCGAGUCACUCAAGAAGCAGUGCCCAACCUAGGACUACUAUGAACCAUUGCUUGCUUCCCGCCUAGCAAUCCUGGUAAUUGGAACGAAGCUAUAGCCCUUUCUUUCAUUCUCUUUCGAAAUUAGGUAUGAAAGGCUCUAUUGCUUUCCCAUUGAAGAAGGGUUAGGCUGACCUGGAAUCCAAUUGAAUAGAGGUUGGGUCUUCGAUUUGCAUCUCUGUCAAAAUUUUUCAUUUGCAGAUCUACAACUAUGGUGGGUGCAAGCUUGGAAGAGACAUAGAGGACAAAAUUGGAAUGAAAUGAGUUUCUGCUAGACACAAGUUACCAUUAAGUCGCGUAAAUAUCACUCGCUAGCUCCCCAGCCGGUUAGCAGGUAAAAUCCAAACAAGUCCAAAGCACAGGGGGGUUAAGUGGGAGUUUCUAAACAAUGAGGAGGUUUCGUGUCAAUUUCCUUAACCACAGGGGGUUUUAUGUACUUUACCCUUUUUUUUUUAUUGGUACGAAAUAUAGUACUAGUAAAUACUAAAUACUACCAAAAAGCGUUUAAAAAUGGAUUCACAGAAAUAAUUUUUUUUUUUUAAAAAAAUGACCAAUUCAUACAAGUUCAAAAUCUUUUCAUUUUUCAACACUUGACUAUAUGCACUAAAAUUAUUUUAAAUACAUGUCACGUGUGUAAAAUUUAGAGUUAAAUUUCAAAAUUAAAAUGACAUGAUAUGCAUCCAAAUUCGUAUAUUAUCAAUGUCGAUAAAAUCUAUCUAACCAAAAAAAAAAGAGCAAAGAGUAUCAUUUUUCUAGAUGUUGGCGGUCAAUUGCAAAAGGAUACAUAUUUCUUGAGGUUGGGUGCCAUAAAAUAAAUUCCAAGUGGUGUAAUUGGAUGAUCACAUAUUCCAAUUCGAUCUCAAAUUCAAGCAUGGAUAAUGCUAUUUGAAUUCAAGCGAGUAACGAUACUUGAACUCGAACUCGAACUCGACUCAUGCGAGUAGUAUACAAACUUAAACUCCCCUCAAAUUAACUUGAAAAUCCCGUCAAGUCUUGUCGAGUUCGAACCACCCAAAUCCAAGCUUGAAAUCGAGCUCAAAGCCUGAUUUUUAUAUUCAAUUUCCAUUCCUAAUUUUCCAUUCAACUCAGCUCAAGACGUGCAUUGAGGAUGGUCAUUUCGGCUCGAGUACCUCCCGAAGUGCCACCUCGGCAAGACCUGUUGGUUUGGAACCCACCUCAUUACCACUCCGGCUAAGAUCAUUAGCCGAAGUGAUGCUUGAUUAUUUGAUAACUGCAGAAAGGUACGAUGUGACUCCUGACACAUCUGACACCUGGAAAGGCUGCUCUGAUACGCCGUCUGAACCUGACAGAUGUCCCCUCACAUCUCAUAAAGAUUGGUCAAGUCUACCGGAUGCACUGACCAUCUCAGAUCUUUAGGGACUCGUGCCGACAGUCCCUCUCUCCUAUCCUUCCUCUAUAAAUUCUCAACAUUUCUAUUGAGAAAGGGAUGAUGACCAAUUCUCUGGUAACAUACUCCUCCCUUCAUUAUACUACCUCCUUACAACCGAACUAACUUGAGCUUCGGAGUUAUAUUAGGGGAUUCAGCCCCUCUUAUUACCCAAGCAGGUGACCACGUCCAAGAGAGCUGCCCAAGAUAAAAAUACUUCUCCAGUUUGGGUGACUUACUCCAGCGGGACGGAAAUCACCUCUUCAAUUGGCGCCGUCUGUGGGAACGCAAAGACAUCAGAGUAUGAAGCCUACGCGUUCUAAGAGCAGAAAAGCUCUCACUAUUGGGGCUGAGCAAAGUAAUGCAGCCCAACAGAAGGUAUAUCUGAAGGGCAGGGGUCUCCAAGGACCCAGCCCGCAAACGAAGAAGCCAUCUCUCGUAUGGCCGAGUUUGUUACUGACAAUCCCAACAUCUUCGAGGAAUUAGGGAGAUACCUGAAGAGGCAAGGCAAGCAAAAAGCCGAAUCCUCUAAGAGGAAGUCAGAUGGGUCUCCUGAAGACUCGUCCGAAAAGGAGUCUGAUGGAAGGCGCCUAAGCCGAAGUGCCUCGAAACGGGCAUUCUCCAAGGCCACCUCUAAGGUAGCCUCAAUGACCAAGGCAUUCUCCCGGGGACUCUUGGGCGACGACCUGAGGAGGAACCUCGGCCCCUGGGAUACCCGGGGUGAAUUACAUGAGGGCCCACCUUUCACCGACGAUAUCAAUGAGGAGAGGCUCCCUCCAACUUCAAGCUUCCCUCAAUUCCAUCCUAUGAUGGUCGGGUGAUCUGGAGGACCAUAUCCACGCCUUCAUCUCGGCCUUUCGCUUAUACUGCAUCCCUGACCCCGUCAUAUGCCGAGCCUUCCCAGUAUUCCUCCAGGGGACAGCUCGAAAAUGGUUCUGGGGGUUAGAACCUAGGAGCAUCUCAACCCUGGGAUGACUGGUAGAAAGAUUUCUCCACAGGUUCAUUCCAUCCCGACCUACGACCCGAACCUCGGCUACCUGCUGAACAUGCAGCAAAACCCGGGUGAGUCACUUCGGUCGUAUGUUCAGAGGUUCCAUGAAGAGAGCGUGCAGAUACCUGAUCCCAAUGAGCAGGUCACCAUCGCCGCUUUCACCCAUGGGCUCGUUUCCGGGGUGUUCAACACAGGAAUCCACAAAAAAUAUCCCCGCACUCUCCAUGAACUAUGGUUUAAAGGUCGAGAAGGGCAUACAGGCCGAGAGCUCAACCGCAUGAAAAAGAAGUCCAAGCUGCUCGCCCGAGGGCUGACGCCCGAAGAGGGAAGGAGCCUAGCCGAAGUGAAGCGGGGACAGGAAGCGGCUUCCAAAGUCCCGGCUGAGAUCGCAGGAGUAUGUUCGACAGGAUCUCAAAAGGAAAGUCACCCAUUCCUGAAUCCGAACUAACUCCUUGAACACUAGCCGGUCUCGGGUGCUAUCCGUAAUGGAACAAAAUAACCUUGGAAAGGCACCCCCCAAGAUGCAGGGCAGCAGGGACAAGAGGAACUCGACCCUCUAUUACUUAUAUCACGAGAUAUAGGACAUGAAACCGAGGACUGUAACGACCUCAAGAGAGAGAUCGAGAACCUCAUUAGACAAGGCCACCUCAAGCAGUUUAUCCGCCGAAGUGGAGGUCAUCCGCGAUGAGAAUCGACGUGAUAAGCGAGGUGAUCAACCCAAGAUGAGAGGCGGGUAUCGAGAACUAGUUGCCGACCUCCUGAGAAUCCUAGGGAGUCGAAGAGGCCACCCGGAGACGGAUCCUCAGGUCAAGGAUUAGGAUAUGACCAAAUAUUGCCGGAGUCAUCAACACCAUUGCUGGAUGUCCGACGGGAGGAGAUAGUCAAAACUCCCGGAAGAGGACCUACAGACAAGCCAACCCGGAUCAGGCUGAGUCGAGUUCUCGCCUCUCUGAGGUGAUCACUUACGGGCCCAGUGACCCCGUCCCAGCUGCCUCCAGCAGUCAUGAAGCAUUGGUGAUUGAAGUCCUCACCAAUAACUACAUCGUGAAAAAGGUCUACAUUUACCCGGGGAGUUCAGUUGACGUCAUGUACCUUCGUACUUUUGAUAGCCUUAAACUGGCCAUGGUGAGAACCCUCUUGUCGGGUUCGGGGGACACAUUGUGCAUCUCGAAGGGAUGGUGACUUUGACAGUGACUGUAGGGCGUCACCUCCGCUGCAGAACCAUCCCCGUCAACUUCGUGUGGUCAAGGCUGACUCCCCAUACAACUUACUCCUAGGCCGACCUACACUUAAUGCUUUACGGGCAGUAUACUCCACCUAUCACCUAAGCUUUAAGUUUCCUACUCCAGAGGGGGUAGCCGAGGUCAGCAGCGACGUCUGCGCUGCCCGGGAGUGUUACCGCCACUCUACAAGCAGCCUCCCCGUCCACCUCCGGAGCAAGGCCCGAGAGGAGGUCAAAUAUCCUCUCUAUAGAUAGCAUCGAUCCUCAGCGAGCUGAGAAGAUCCCGAGGCUGGAGACUGGGGAUGAGGUGGAAGAAUUCCCUCUGGACCCCACGAAGCCUGAUCAAACGAUUCGCGUCGGUACCCGAUUGCCCAGUCCUAUCAAAAGAGGUAUGGUGAGCCUUCUCAGAGAAUACCGGGACGUCUUUGCUUGGGCCGCAGAGGAGGUUCAAGGGGUCCCGCAUCACCUCAUGAUACAUGAGUUGAACGUCGACCCCCAAAUCCGCCCGGUCAAGCAGAAAGAAGGCACCUCGGCCCUGAGCGUAGCCGAGCUGUUGGCGAAGAGGUGGACAAGCUCCUCCCUGCAAAGAUCAUCCGGGAGGUCCAAUAUCCUACUUGGUUAUCCAACCCGGUUAUGGUAAAGAAGGACACGGGGGCUUGGAGAAUGUGCGUCGACUUUACCGAUCUCAACAAAGCUUGUCCCAAGGACUGCUACCCAUUGCCCAAGAUUGAUACCCUGGUGGAUUCAGCAAUGGCUAUGAAGUCCUCUGCUUCUUUGAUGCCUUCAAGGGGUAUCACCAGAUCGGAUGAGACCGGAAGACCAGGAGAAGACCGCCUUCUACACUGACCGACGGCACGUAUUGUUACACCACUAUGCCUUUCGGAUUGAAGAACGCCGGGGCCACAUACCAACGCUUGGUUAACCAAGCCUUUAAGUCUCAGAUCGGCCGGAUGGUUGAGGCCUAUGUAGAUGAUAUCCUCCUCAAAAGUCGGACAACCUCCACAUUCCUUGCCGACCUGAAGGAAGUCCUGGAAGUCUUUCGGAAGACGCGAAUAAUGCUAAACCCUAAGAAGUGUGUCCUGGGGGUCACUUCGGGGAAGUUUUUGGGUUACCUCGUCUCCAGGCGAGGUAUUGAAGCAAAUCCAGACAAGGUGAAAGCAAUUCAAGAGAUGUCUUCACCUCGGUGCGUCCGCGAUGUCCAAAGGUUGACGGGGCGGUUGGCCGCCCUGAAUCGAUUCCUAUCGCAUUCAGCCUCCAAGGCAUUGCCGUUUUUUAAAGUCCUUAAAAAGGCCAACAACUUCUCCUGGACCGAAGAGUGUCAACAGGCGUUUGAGCAGCUAAAGGAGUACCUCAACCACCUCCCAACACUCACUUCACCUCGCCCAGGGGACAAGUUAAUCUUGUACCUAUCUGCUGCCGCUGAAGCUGUAAGUGCCGUACUAAUAAGGGAGGAAGGUGUCCAAACACCUGUUUACUAUGUCAGCCGAGUCCUCCGAGGUCCGGAGACCAGGUACCUCAGGCGGAGAAACUUGUGCUAGCCUUAAUUCAUGCAGCUCAUAGGCUUAAGCCCUACUUUUUGGCCCAUCACGUCUGCCUGAGGACAGACCAACCACUUCGGCAGGUCCUAUCGCGACCGGAGGCCUCUGGACGCCUCACCAAGUGGGCCAUCGAGCUGGGAGAGUACGAUUUAUCUUAUGAGCCUCGCACGGCCAUUAAAGCCCAGGCUCUCGCGGAUUUUCUUGCCGAACUUACUUUUGAGGAAGCGAAUGAGAUCAUCCCGGUUAUUACCCAGGCUGUCACCUCGUCCACCGCCGAGCCUCAACAAUGGACCUUGCAUGUAGAUGGCUCAUCCAAUAGUGAGGGUAGUGGAGCUGGUUUGCUCCUCGAAGAUCCCCAAGGAGAAAUUUGCUCGUAUGCCUUGAGGUUUGAUUUUGCUGCUUCCAACAAUGAGGCCGAAUACGAAGCAGUCAUCGCCGGCCUGCAGUUAGCUCGUAAGCUCGGGCCGCGCAUAUUAUGGUCUAUAGCGAUUCUCAACUCGUUGUAUGCCAAUUACUAGGCGAAUACGAGGCCAGGGAAGAGGUGAUGCAUCGAUACCUCUCCAAGGUCCUCCAGCUAGUGGCACACUUCCAGUCUUUUGAAAUCCAGAGGAUACCACGGUCACAGAACAGGAGAGCUGAUGCCCUCUCCCGGCUCGCUUCUACCUCUUUUUCUGACCUGAACAAAACGGUCAUUGUAGAAGUUUUAGCCGCACCGGGGUACGAAGGGGAAGAGGUGUAUCCCAUCUACCCUGGGGAUACCUGGAUGGGACCGUUAGUUCGAUUCCUCAGCCGAGGUGAACUCCCCGAAGACCGAGCUGAGUCACGCAAACUUCAGCGUAAAGCAUCUCGGUACGCCCUUCAACAGGGCCUCUUGUACAAGAUGUCCUACCUCGGCCCAUGGCUACGAUGUAUCACCCCAGAAGAAGGCGACAGAAUUCUUCAGGACAUUCACGAGGGACUCUGUGGUGCCCACGUCGGUUUCAGGAUGCUCGUGAAAAAGGCUUUGCUGCUUGGAUACUUUUGGCCCACCAUGAGGGUAGAUGCCCAGGUCAUGGUCCUUUGCUGCCCUUCUUGUCAGCACCAUGCCCUGAGCACCAUGCCCCUGAGCACCACCGACCAACCAAUCUUAUGAUUCCUAUCACCUCGCCGUGGCCCUUCGAGCAGUGGGGAACCGACAUAAUCGGCCCAUUUCCAAGGGCUCCAGGUGGUUAUACUUACGUGGUGGUAGCAGUGGACUACUUCACCAAAUGGGUUGAAGCGGAGCCCCUGAGAAGCAUCACCGGAAUGGCCGUUCAAAAAUUUUUCUAGAAAAAUGUGGUUUGUUGUUUCGGCUUGCCCCGGGUGGUCAUCUCGGAUAAUGGCAGACAGUUCGCGGACAAUCCUUUCAAGACGUGGUGUGAACACUUGGGAAUUAAACAGCACUUCACCUCGGUGGACACCCUCAGGCAAAUGGACAAGCUGAAAACUUCAACCGAACUCUCCUCCAUGGCCUCAAGACCAGGCUUUACCGGGCUGGAUCGUCAUGGAUGGAAGAGCUCCCAAGCGUGCUGUGGUCCUACCGAACCACGCGAGCUCAGCGACUCAAGAAACACCGUUCUCUCUAACUUAUGGAUCCGAGGCUGUCGUUCCAGCCGAAUUCAUCACCCCAGCAGCGAAUGGCCGCGUACGCUGCCGAUGUCAAUGAAGAGGAGCGACGGGUUGAUCUCGACCUUGCCGAGGAGAAGCGCGAUAUGGCUGCGGCCAAAGUUGCUAUUUAUAAAAAUAUCCUAGCUGGUUAUUACAAUGCCCGGGUCAAACACCUAAGGUUCAGUCCAGGAGACUUGGUACUCCGGAAGAAUUCGGUUAGCCGAGUUGAACCCCAGGGAAAACUUAACCCCAAGUGGGAGGGACCCUACCGUGUUAUUGAAUCCAGCCAAAAUGGAUAUUGUAAACUGGCUUACCGAGAUGGUUCGCGUGUGCCCCGAACUUGUCAUGCUGAGAACCUUAAGUUGUAUUACCCUUGAAGGGUACGUGUUCUUAAAUUCCACUUCUUUAAGUUAUUUCUCACUCGUUCUUAUUUCAUUACAAGUGACAAAUAAGGGGACAAAGCAGUAGUUAAAAGGAAAAAACUGAACUCAAUCGAAAAGGAGAGAAAAUAUGCAAAACCCAACUUUAUUGAAGCAUGAAAAGCAAAAGGUCGGGGCCAUAAUUACAAAAGUGAAAUGCCGAUGACCUCGGCCAUCUAUUACAAAACAUGAGUGCUUCUAAGCACCUCCUGCCCUGGGGUCCUGUCCCCCAGGGUCUCGCCGCCUGCCUCGGCAUCCUGCUGUCCGGCAUUCUGCUGUUCUUCCUCUCCUCCACCAGCCUGGUCCCCUUCGGCACUGUCACCAUCCACACUCGAACUCCUGGAGCCACUUGUUGAAUUCAGCUCGGACCUCAGCCAGGUCCUUUCCAGUCCGGAUGCCCUCACCCACGCGGUCGCAUAAUUCCUUAGCAUCCUCAUUGUAGUGUGAAGCACUCUGGAAGGACUCCAGCUGCUCAGGGAGAAGAAAGGGUGCCGCAUCAUUAAUGGCCGACGUAUACCCGAACAUGAAGCUCGGCCGAGUGAGUUCACCGAGGUCGCGAAUGAAAGACUCCGACUUCCGGAAUGCUUCCACAGCGGUGGCCCCGGCUGUGUCUAUGGCCACUUUGGAUGAUUGCUCUUCCUGAGCUCUCUUCUCCCUCUCCUCAUCAAGAGCAGUUAUGAGGGAGUUGUUCGAGACCUCAGUCUUCUUCUUCGCCGCCUCAGCCUUGUCACGUGCCAGCUCGGCGGCCUUUAGUUUCCCUUCCAGAUCGGCGAUCUUCUUCUGGAGCUCGGAAGGUGAUUCAUAAGUCUCUACGAAAUCGCCGAAGCGUUGGUACAUCUCGGCAAGAAACGCCGUGGUGGAAGCCCAGGAGACCGAGGCACCCUGCAUCAGUUCGGCCGGAUUGAGUUUUCUAGUGUAAGUGUUGUCCUGUGGCAGGACUGAAUUCACCAGGAGCUCGUGCGCGACCUGGGGAUUCUUGCAGCGGUCAUUGACAUUGACCGACCACUCCGGGCAAAAUUGUGCUCCGGAGUGCCUCUUGUCCUCCCGGCUGCUAGAGAGGGCACGUGGUGGAGGUUCAAUAAUGAGUUCCCCGAGAUAGCGUCACCCUGGACAACGGUCGCACCUCGACCCCGGCCCCGAGGUUGAGAGGCUAUGGUUACUCCAUGGGAUGGAACUCCCACUGGAAUGGACGCUUUGGAUCUUCCCGGCGUGCCCGAGGUAUGCGACCCCUCGCCUAUAAUCACCACGACAGGUUCGCGAGUGCCUGCCGCGGCAGUGGUCUUCUUAGCCGGCCUGGAAGAGGACUCACCGGCGUCCUUGCGCUUUUUUGCUGGCCUCUUUGCCACCUCGACCUCUCCCGAGGUAAUCAGGUCGGAAACCUUCAUUACUGCAAAGUACGAAAUGAAGUUAGUUAGAAUUCAAGGAAAACAAACAAGAAAGUGAGAAGUGGAAAAGUACGAGGUAUGUGAAGCCUAGUGAAGACGAGGACGGGAAAGUCCGAGCUGAUCGAGGCUCGGCUGAGCUCGCCCUUCACGAGCACUCUUUCAGGGAAGUCCCAAUAGUUAAUCUUCAGGCCCGACCCCGUCAAUUUUUGGAAGUUGCGUUCUUCCAAUUUGCCCGGGGAGGUUUUUUUGACCGAAGUGGGAGGUCUCCACCAGAAUCCCCUGGGGAAGUCCUCAGCCGGGACGAAGAAAAAGUUCCUCUUCCACUCCUUUAUUGAGCUCGGGGCAUCAUAUACCAAUCUUGGAACCUUGUUCCCGCAGUAGAACCACCCCUUCUCGCUCCCACUGUUCUUAAGUGAAUAACAACGGCGGAAGAGGUUGACAUUCGGCUCUAUCUCUUGAUGUCGGCAGAGUAGCUGGAAGCCGACGAGGAUGCGAAUUGCAUUUGGAGUGAGCUGAGUAAUCCUCACCCCCCAAUACCUCAGGCAGUGCCUAAGAAACCUCGUAGUUGGCACCAUGAGUCCGGCCUCCAGCUGUUCUAUGUAGAUGGCUACCCUACCCUUUGGAGGCAGGGCGGCGGAUUGAUGUGGGCGCGGAAGGUAGAUACUGUAAUCCCUCCUCCACGGAUACUUGCGGACCACAUCGGCUAUGGAGCUUGGUCCACCGCACUGAUGAAGGCCGGCAUCUGACCAUAGUUUAGCGUGGCCACGUGUGGAGGAGUGGAGGGCUCUUGUACACCCACGUCCAUUGGAACUUCAUUCCCGAGGUGAUCAUUGUACAAGACCUCGGGCUCGACCUCAAUCUCUUCGGCCUGCUCUUCCAAAGACUCAGCUCGGCGGAUGCCUCCGCAUCUCCUCCCCGGGCUCGAUCAGACGCUUCCCCACCUCCUUCCUCGGCGUUAGAGGCCGUUCUCUCCUCGGAAGGGUCGGGCUCUCUGCCUCGGUGAAGUCAGGCCUCACCGUCUCUUUGUGUGUGCGAGCUGUUCUAGCCAUUAAUACAGAAAGAAGAAGUGAACUUACUUAGAAGAUGCGAAGUGAAAAAGUUGCUGAAGAAGAUGUAGGUUGGAAAGAUUGCCGAAGUGAAAAAGCAAAUGGACAGAGCUCUGAGAUGAUUUCAAAUUUUGGUAAAGAAUGGAACGGUGAAAAGAAACCCCUAUUUAUAGGCAACAAGGGGGGAACCGAAGAGAUGCGAUCUUUGGAUUCCCUAAAGCUCUCUCUCUCCCCUCAUUAAUGAAGGUGCUGUUCACCUGACAAUCGAUCGUAUUGAUUCGACGUUAAAGCUGCCAGCCCCCGUUUCACCUUCCCCUAGUCACAUCUACACAGUCGUGACGUGUCCUUGCAUUGUUCCGUGUUCUACACGCGCGUCAGCUUCGGGAAACGACGACCUCGGGAGGCCCCGACCUCGCUCUUCUUGAAGCUUGGGGGCUUAGUGAGGAUGGUCAUUUCGGCUCGAGUGCCUCCCGAAGUGCCACCUCGGCAAGACUUGUUGGUUUGGAACCCACCUCAUUACCACUCCGGCUAAGAUCAUUAGCCGAAGUGAUGCUUGAUUAUUUGAUAACUGCAGAAAGGUACGAUGUGACUCCUGACACAUCUGACACCUGGGAAGGCUGCUCUGAUACGCCGCCUGAACCUGACAGAUGUCCCCUCACAUCUCAUAAAGAUCGUCAAGUCUACCGAUGCACUGACCAUCUCAGAUCUUUAGGGACUCGCCGACAGUCCCUCUCUCCUAUCCUUCCUCUAUAAAUUCUCAACAUUUCUAUUGAGAAAGGGAUGAUGACCAAUUCUCUGGUAACAUACUCCUCCCUUCAAUUAUACUACCUCCUUACAACCGAACUAACUUGAGCUUCGGAGUUAUAUCAGGGGAUUCAGCCCCUCUUAUUACCCAAGCAGGUGACCACGUCCAAGAGAGCUGCCCAAGAUAAAAAUACUUCUCCAGUUUGGGUGACUUACUCCAGCGGGACAGAAAUCACCUCUUCAUGCAUCAAUAGCAACAACUCAGAAAUCAGCCCCAUCACCUCCAACAUUUACGUACGUUUUCCUCAACAUCAAUAUCAACUAAAGAAAUAACCCAAAAAAGAAAGAAAAGCUCACAAAAUCACCCAAAGUACUGAAAAUCGAGUUCUGCAGUUAGGGCGCUCCGGUCGUGAGAUUCUCACGGCUCUAGAAUAACUUGAAGUUCCACUACUACUUACUGUAUACUAGCUAUAUAUUUUUUGUUACACUACUCAUUAGUCACAACAACUGAUGCUGCCCUAAACGUUGAAUCUGGCGGGAUCCAUGAGACUGAAUCCCGAUGUAUUUUGUUAAGGCACGAAUUUAGCAAGUUUCAUUCCGGCUUUUAUCAUUUUGCUAGGACCCAUGAAUAAAGUCCGAUCGAGGCACGCUUCGCUCGUGGUUUCGGGGCUUGAGUGAUGAUAUUUUAUUCUGGCAAAUACGGAUGACACGAUUGGCCUGCAAUUUUGUUUCUAACGACUAAGGUUCAUUCUAGCAAAACCGCAUCAUGAAUCACUAACUUGGAAGGUGCAACUGGGCCGCCACUGUUGUAACCUCAAACUUCAAAAUCUCGGUCCGCCUAAUCAAUUUGAGCACUUGAUGAAACAAACCACCCACCCACCCUCGCUCACCAGUCCAACAAAAAUUAGGGGUAGCAAUUGGAUAAAAAAAGAGUCGGCGGAUCGGAUUGAGACCCGAAUAAAACUAAUAACCUGCUGAUUCGAACACGAUCCACCAACUCUAAACGGGUCAGAUAUCUGACCCGAAUCUAAAAAUUUCGGAUUGGCGGGUCAAUCCAAAUGCCUUGAAAUAUAAUUUCAAUUUUCUAAUUUAGCACUGUGGUUUCUAAUAGAACCAAUUUCGCAUAAGGCUAAUUACAUAAUCAAUUAAUAAAAAUCUCGAUAAAACAAUCCAAAACCAUAUCUGAAAUAAAUUAAAACAUUGUAAAAAUAUUUUAUCCCAAAUCAGAUCUAAAAUAAAUUAAAAUACUAUAAAAAUAGAAAAUAAUGUAAUAUAUCAUUUGUCCAAACAUAGUAAUUUCAAAUUCACACAAGUUAAACAAAUUCAUUUAGGAUUAAGUUGUUAAUGCCUUUGGGGAAAAAAAGAAUAACUUAGUUUAGUUAAAUAAAAUAUUUUUAUAAUUUUUAAAUUAUUUUUAAUUCAUAAGCGGAUUAUCAGGUCAACCCGUGGGUGACAUAAAUUCGACCUUUUUUUUUCGGGUUCAUCAGGUUCGAUCCGAUUUUGACCCGAACCCGCGAAAUCUCAACCAAAAUUCAUUAAUUUCGUGUUAAAUUCGUGUCGUGUCGAAAAAUUACCACCCCUGACAAAAACCAAGAAAGCCAUUCCACAUAACAACUAUUUUUUGAACUGAACAUUUUAGUAUAAAAGCAUAAGGGUGAAAAAAAAACUUCCUGUAGUAAACCUAAUGUACAAAAAAGUCCCCUGUGGUUUUAAAACGUACAAUAUAACACCUCAUGCUUUGAACUAAAUUGUAAAUGUGACGGAAUUCGUUAAAUUUAACGGAAAUAGACGAAAUGACCAAAAUGCCGUGAUGUAAUUAAGCAAAAGACAGCUCAAAAAAUCAUUUAUUUUAUUCAUUAGAUAGAGAGAAUUGAGGAUUAAGGGGUAGAAUAGGUAUAUUGGUUACAAAUUAAGUAUAAAUUUUUUUUUGUUCCAAUAAGUCAUUUCCGUUAAAUUUAACGGAUUCCGUUAUCUUUACAAUUUAGUUCAAAGUAUGAAGUGUCAUGUUGUACGUUUUGAAACCAUGGAGGAUUUUUCUGUAUAUUAGAUUUACCACAGGGAAUUUUUUUUUAUUUUUUACCCGUAUACAUAACGAAUUGUCUUUUCAACUAAUUAGUGCACCACCCAAUUUUUUGACUAUAAAUGCUCAAAAAUAGAUCCAUAGUCAUCUGACUAAUAUCUUUAUCCACGUUAAAUUUUAUUUUCUUUUCAAAUACAGGCAAAUUUGAGUAGUAUUGGGAAUACUUUAUUUUUAUUAAUUUUUCUGGCAAAGAGGAGUGAAAUUUAAUAAAUGAAAAGAGAGAAGAGAAAUUGAAAUUUAAGACCCCUAAAUCCUCAGACCUCAUCAAGUUAAGAUUGUUUUCUUAGUAGUCAAAGAAAUCGAAUCAACAACUUUACAUGUUUCUUAAUCGACAUUAAAACAAAAACUGCAUUAGAUUAUUGUCACACUUGUAUCUAUACUAUUUGAGGCCACAUAAAUAUAAUAUAGUCAUCUUUUCUUUUGUUUUUUUUUUGGGGCCAACACAGUAUGUGAAAUAUCAAGAUUCAAAAGAAUCCAUUCUUAUGCAUUCAAAAGAAUCAUUUUUUUUUUUUUGCUUUUUGUUAUUAAAUUCGGAAGUAAAUACCACAGGAACAUUACUCUCAUCUCAGUCGACUUGAGAAGUAAAUUUUAUUAUGAUAAUAAGAUAAUCUUUAAGAGUAUCGGAUAAUUAACAUACUGAGAAAAAUCGUUGGUUGGGAUGUGAGUUUAAAUGAUUUACUAGUAAUUGUUUGGUUAUGAUGACAUACUGAUAUAAUGAUAGUUGUGAGUUGUAACGUUUAAAAACUUCAAGAGCACCUGCGGUCACUUGCAUCGCACGUGACCUUCGCCUCAUUUGAAUUUCGGACUCCAGCGCCUUUUCUUCAAUUCACUUUUUUAAAGUUUGGAGUUCGCCCUUUCCUUUUGUUUUCUUCUCUGUCCACCGUCCCUCCCAAUUCCCCGUUCAAAAUCAAUCCAACCCUCAACGGUCACCCCUCCCAUCCUCCUCCGUCCCAACCCCUCAUUCCCACCUCUUUCUCCCCUCAGGUACAGUUCAAACUAUUCAACUACAUUUUUCACUCGUCACUAUACAUUUUGGUUGAUUUAUAGAAUAAUGUGGUUAAUGAGAUCUCGAAGGUCAAGAUUAAAAUGAUGGCCUUAGAGUUGGAUUUUUGAUUGUGUGUGCAGGCUCAAUUGAAUCUAGCUAGGGUUUCUGUUGCUUACUUCUUUUCUUCUUUCCUGUCGUAGUGAUUCAAAAUUUCAAAUUGCAUUGAGUGGAGAUGGACAGUUCUGAAGUUAAAGACACAUCUCAGUGUGUGAGGGUUGCAGUCAAUGUUCGGCCGCUUGUCACUCAUGAGCUUGUUGCUGGAUGCACUGAUUGCAUCACCGUUGUCCCUGGAGAACCACAGGUACUUGGGAUGAGUAUUCUUUUGUUUAAUACUUGGAAACUAUAUAAUUAUUACUAUUAUUUUUUAAAAAACAUGUGCUCUUUUGAUUGAGAAUUUUUUUUAAUUGUGUGUUUUUGGUCGCGAAUUUUUAGUGGAGUAUUGAGAUUUAGGUGCAAAUUGGGAGUUAUUGAGGUGUUUGUAUGCUCAAACAGGUUCAAAUUGGAUCACAUGCCUUCACAUUUGAUUAUGUGUUUGGGAGUGCUGGGUUAUCAUCUUCACGGAUAUUUGAUGAGUGUGUGGCUCCAUUAGUUGAUGCACUCUUCCACGGCUACAAUGGUACUGUUCUUGCGUAUGGACAGGUAUGGAACCUGUUUCUGAUAUUAAAUUAUUUUCUGCAACUUAAAGUCCUUUUUUUGUGUUUCCUUACCUUGUUCAAAAUUUGUUUCAUGUGAAAGACUGGCUCUGGAAAAACAUACACUAUGGGAACUAACUAUAAUGGAGAAGACCAUAAAGGAGGAGUUAUUCCUAAAGUAAUGGAAACCAUAUUUUCACGAGUAGAGGCUUUCAAAGCCUCUACAGAGUUUCUUAUAAGAGUAUCUUUUAUUGAGGUAUGGUAAUUUGGUUUUUCGGUGUAUUAUUACUAAAGUCUCAUAGUUCAUGUAUUGACCGCCUAAUUUGGUAUCAUGUUAUUUAUUUUAUGAUUUGCAGAUUUUUAAGGAAGAGGUAUUUGAUUUACUAGAUCCAAACCCCCUGCUAUUGCAAAAGGUGAUGGGGCAUCUAUAGCAAAACCUGGCCCAGCAAGAGCUCCCAUUCAAAUUAGAGAAACUGUCAAUGGUGGGAUCACACUUGCCGGUGUUACAGAGGCAGAGGUUAGGACAAAAGAAGAGAUGGCAUCAUACCUCUUGCGUGGUUCAGUAUCUCGUGCUACGGGGAGCACUAACAUGAAUAGUCAAUCAAGGUGUGUGCAUUGUUUUAGUGUUAUUGAUAAAAUCUACCUGUAUGUCUGUAACUUCUUAGAUUUUUGUGCAUUGUCUAUGAUGUUGACUAACGUAGUUAAUUUUAUAUGGAGGUGCUGAUUUAUGUCUUCAGUUACAUGAUGAUUCUUGUGUGCUCUUUACUGUGUGAGUCAUUCUUUUUUGUAAAGAGAGCAGAUACCAAAAUUACUCAGAAUUAUGGAUCCUCUAAAUCAUGUUAUCUUGUGCUACUCUCUCUCUCUCUAUCACUUCUCUGCUUAAAUUACUUUUUUCAAUCUCCUUCAAAAGCGUUAGGGCAUAAACCUGUAUAUAAUGUGGAUUAACUCUGCAAAACUAGCAUUAGUUAAACAUUUAUGCUUGAGGGAUAGAGAUUUUGUAGUUUCAGGUUUUGCUUGAAAGCAAAAAUUGCUUGUGAAGAUGCCAAUAAUGAGCUGGUCAAUCAACAUCAUCCCCUUCUUUUCUCUUCUGCCUCCCCUUUUUUCUGUUGUAAUGUUUCUGUGUCAAGAAUUUACUGAUAUUUCUCUGGAUGUCCCUGGGUUCAGAAUAUAUAUGACAAUUGGAGUUACUUAAACAAAGGUGUUAAUGGUGUCUUCAAGUUACUACAGUCAUAUGGCGCUUACAGUAGCUCUAACUCUUAAAAUGAAACUCAAUGUAUGCUAGUUGGGUGCUGCCUUUGAUUGAAGGAUACGUAGUGUAAGAGUUAGUUUCUAAUGACAAUUAGCUUGUUGCAGCUGAGAAAUUAAAUCAGAUCAUCACAAUCUUCUGAAAAAAUGUAAUAACUUCUCGUUUCUUCAUUGUAGCCUGCACUUGUUUUAGGAGAAGUAAUUUUUCUAUUGUUUUUUACCUGUUUAAUUUCUUCUUUAUCACAGUAAAUGUAUCGGUCUAGCUGACAGAGUUGUGUUAACAAGAAGUCUCAUUAAUCUUGGAGCAUGUUUCCAAUCUUAAUACGAAUUGUCAGUGCUCUCUUAUUAGCACCCUAGUGAAAUCUGUAGAGAGCACUCUAGAUAGGUUGCAUACCUUGAAGAAACCAGCAGAUUUAGCUGUUUUCUUGGCCUUUCUUUUAACUUACUCUUUCAGUCAUUACAAUGAGAAUUUUUUAAUGUUAGUGUUAUAUGAUUUUCAGUCGUUCGCAUGCAAUUUUCACAAUAUCAAUGGAACAAAAAAGAACAAGCAGUUGCUCUAGUGGAGACAUACAUGAUGAAUUUAGUGACGAAAUCUUGGGUGCUAAGCUUCACUUGGUGGACCUAGCAGGUUCUGAAAGAGCAAAGCGAACCGGAGCAGAUGGGAUGCGUUUGAAAGAAGGUGGAACUAUCCUUGAUAACUGAAAUAUAUACUCUGGCUACUGGACCUGCUUGAUGAUGCUUUUUUUCUUUAUUGUUUUUGCUACUUCUCAUUUAUUUGGCAUUCUUUUUAAUUGAAAAUAUGGAUUAGGCAUUCAUAUCAACAAAGGGUUGCUGGCUCUUGGCAAUGUGAUUAGUGCUUUGGGUGAUGACAAGAAACGGAAAGAAGGUGGUCAUGUUCCUUAUCGAGAUAGCAAAUUAACUCGGCUGUUGCAGGCAAGAGAUGUUUCUUUCUUUGCUUCCUUAUUCAUCCUUCCCAAGUUUCUAAACAACCAUAUAUUAUAAUAUGGUGUUCAUAUGUUAGUAUUUCUUACAUUUCCGUCUACUUUUCAACCUUAGUCAUAAUCUUUCUUACGAACAAAAUUUUUUCUAUUGCUUUAUAUGGCAUUGUGUUAGGACCAUGCAGUUAACAAGUAAAAGUACAUAUCAGAAUGAACUCUACGCGUAUUGAAUGCAAACAUAAAAAUCAGCUUAUUUCAAAGUAGUAAUCUGUUCUUGAAUCUUCAUUCUCAUUUUCCUUUUUCCUUUCCAAUCAGAAGACAUGAUCUUUCUGGUUUUUGUUCUCUGUAAGUUGUUUAUAUUGUUUGAACUUUUCUAGAGUGGUGGCUCCUAUUGAUGCUCAGUUCUAUUGACAAUUUUCUCUCAUAAGGAUUGCAUUGCAUGCCUCCAUAAAUACCAUGUGUCCUAACUAAUCCUGAUUGUGCUUUCAUUUUUUUAACAUGAUUCACUAUAUUUGUGGUUGUCCUGUCUGGCCAGCUUGAUUUUCCUUGCGUGUCCUUGAUGUUAUAUGUAAUUUAAGCAAAUCUACCAUUGCUAACCUUGGGAAUAUUCUGUUUCAGGAUUCUCUUGGAGGGAACAGCAAAACAGUAAUGAUUGGUAAACUUUUAAUUUCGUUUGCCAAGAUGCUUUAUAUCUGUCCUCAGGAACAUGAUAUGCUGUUUUAUUAUAUGAUUUUGCUGGGCAUUUCAUCAUUUCUUUAAUUAAUGUCACUUAACUCUUCUAUCUUUUGCAUUUAUGUGGUAGCUUGCAUCAGUCCAGCAGAUACAAAUGCAGAGGAGACACUAAACACUCUGAAGUAUGCAAAUCGUGCUCGUAAUAUUCAAAAUAAAGCAAUUGUAAGUUUAAUAUUGUUAAGAAAAAUCAUAUUUUUUUUAAUUCAAUCAGUAUACUCACCUACUUUUAAUUUCUAGAUCAACCGUGAUCCAUGGCAACUCAGAUGCAAAGAAUGAAAAAUCAAUUGAACAGUUGCAAGCUGAGCUUCUUUUCUUUCGUGGAGACUGCACUGUUCCUUUUGAGGAACUUCAGGUUUCAUUUUUCCUCAUAAGUGUCAGUCUGUCAGUUUCUUAGUUGCUGUGAUUGGGAGGAUGAUUAAAAUGAUUAUCAUUGUGUUGGGUUGUGCAUAUAGAUUUGAGGUGGUUACUUCUUAGCUAAUACAAGAGGCUGUAUUAUCCUUUUAAUUAAUAACCUCUGUCCAUAAGUGUGUCUCGGUUAGAAAUUGACUUGUUCCUUCUGCCCUACAGAUUCUUAAGCAUAAAAUUUCUUUGCUUGAAGCAAGCAAUGCACAACUACAGCAGGAGCUUCAAGAACGUCGAAUUACUUGUGAUCAUUUGACACAACGAGCCCUAGAUGCUCAGGUAGUUUUAUUUGUGUAAUUGCCAAUGUUAAAAUGAUCUAUUUACGGCAUCCAAGUUAGAUGCAUUUUUGAAGCCGCUUACAUCAAAAUAAUGUAUUAGGUGGAGAGGAUAGGCUUGUCAUGAAGAUUGAAUCAGCUCGAAGUCAAAAAUCGUGGAAUGAAAUAGAUUCUGAUUCUAAUCAGGUAGAUAGGAUUCCUGAUCAAUUUGCCAUGUAGUUUGGGAAACUUGGCUAAUAUAAAUUUUCAAAUUUCCUACAGGAUUUUGAUUUGUUAAAAGGAUAUGUAUCCAAGAUACAAGAAUUGGAAGGAGAAUUAUUGCGGCUCCAAAGUGCUAACCAUUUAAGGCAGAAUGAUUUUGUUGACUACGUUAGUUUGGAUGAUAGCGGGCUUCAUUCAAAAGAUAACUGUUUUGCAGAGUCCGAAACAAAAGCUGAUAAUUUAAGUGGUGAGCUACCAUAAGCUGUUCCAUGAUAAUUAUGUACACUCUUGUUUCUGUGUUUGUUCAGGUGGCUGCUAUGCGGUGGAUGUUUCUUGUUGUGGCUUUCUAGUAUUUUAUGUUGCGCAUUAUCAUUGACUCUGCUUGACAAGAGGAUUAUGUUGCAACAACUUGUACCUGAAUGGUCGUGAUUUAUGUUUGGAAUUUGACCAAGUUGAUUUCAAGUUGCUGGUAGAAUAAUGUUCUUUCAUAUUUGUUAGGUGUGUUUGAGGAUGAGCAGAAAGAGCGAGAACAUUCUUCUCUUCAAGAAAAAUUGGACAUGGAGCUCAAAGAAUUGGACAAAAGACUUGAACAGAAGGAGGUAUGUGGUAUCUCUUCAAGUAAUUAUAUUGGUUGGCUUAAAUCUAGAAGCAAUUGUUACCUUGUAACUUCUGAUUUCACCUUGACCUAUUAUAUCUGUUUAUAGGCUGAGAUGAAGCGGUUUGCAAAUCCUGAUACCUCAACUCUUAAGCAACAUUAUGAUAAAAAAAUUCAGGAGUUAGAACUCGAAAAGAGAUCCUGCAGGUAUGUCUUUGAGUAUGAUGAUUUUAGUUGAUAAUUUCUUUGUUUCUGAGCUAAUUUUCCAUUGCAGAAAGAGAUCGAGGAACUUAGACAUAAUCUUGCAAAUAUAUCAUCUACUACUGAUGAUAGUGCUCAGAAGCUGAAGGAAGAUUAUCUUCAAAAGUUAAAUGUCCUUGAAGCUCAGGUAUUCCUUCAACUGUUUUUUCCCCCACCAAACUUUAUGUCUGGAUAAUAAUUUCGGCCUCUGCAGGUUGUCGAGUUGAAGAAGAAGCAAGAUGCUCAAGCCCAGCUUUUGAGACAAAAGCAAAAGAGCGAUGAGGCUGCAAAACGACUACAGGAUGAGAUACAGAGGAUAAAAACACAGAAGGUACAGGGUCUUGGUAUUUGAUACUUGUUUAGAUAUAGAGAAUCCCUUGCUUCUUCUAAUGGCAUUCUAUUGUCUAAAAGGUUCAAUUGCAACAAAAGAUAAAGCAAGAAUCUGAGCAAUUCAGGUUAUGGAAAGCAUCACGUGAAAAAGAGGUCCUUCAGGUACUACAGUUUUUUCACUAUUCCAUUUGGCUUCUUCUUUUACUACAGAUUUUUACCAGAAGAUGGAACACCAAACUUAAAUAGUGAAAUUAUGAGUAUUAGGCUCUAGUGGUGCCCUGGUGCUAUCUCAUUGACUCGUGUUACUUUUGUAUGGAUAGCAAGUUGUUAAGUGUGGUAAUGUUGCUCAUAUUUUGCAUAAGCUCUGAAAUAAUGGUAAAUGGGAAUCUUUGAGCCACAAGACAACAUGUACUUUUUUGAUUGAAAGAUAAGAGUCUGCGAGGGACAAGAAGGCAUUCAAGAUCCAAGUAGUAGAAUUGCAAGUACAUAAACAAGUCAUUUUAAUGGUACUGAAGUAACAGGCACUAACAAAAGUUUCUUUAUACUGGCAAGAUUUUUGUCCUAUUUAACUACAGACUCUAGAUGGAAUCUUACAUUGGAUGAACCUUAAAGGUAGCAAGUAGGUUCUAUUAACGAUUUAUCGAGAACCUGUUUCCACUAAGGGAGUUCUCAGCUUUAGCUUGCUUCCUGGAUGUGUAGUUUAUGUCAUGUUUUUAGAUGUUGGCAGACAGAGUACAAUGUGGAAGUAACUACACGUGAUGUCAGCCUUUGUAAAUAAACAAUUGAUUCAAAAAUCAACAAACAUGUAUUAACAUUUUUAGUUAGUGCGUUGCUUUUCUAAAUUGGAAUCAUGCUCCAUUUCCAGAAUGUAAGCCAGUACUUCCUGCUAUUGAGAGUUAAGACUUCGGUAUUAGCCUGUAGCAAAUAUAUUUUUUGUCGGUCCCACCACCCCCAGCCCACCUCCCUUUUAGUUUUCUCUGUUAAGGCAAUUAGUGCUUUGCAAUGAAGGAAGCAUUAUAAUUUCCUUAUUCGUAUACAAUGUGCUCCUGUAGUAUGAACUAAUUUUCUAAGUCUAUUCCAAACAUAUAUGCCAUGGUUCCUUACUUCGACAGGGUACAAAUAUCUAAAUUUGAUAUUUUUAGAUACUUUUUCAGACCUAUUGCCGAUACUAAGUAGCAGUCAAAAAUUGGUAUCCAUAGUUUGCUUCGUCUCUUCUCUCCCAUCAGUUGCUUCGUCUCUUCUCUCCCAGCAGGAAAACAGGCAUCAUCACCUUUUUUUUUUUUUUUUUUUUUUUUUCUUUCUUCUUCUCUGUUUCGCUUUCGUCAUCGUUUGGUUGUGAUGACUGUUGACCGAGCCCUUAUUCUCUUGACUAGAUGAAAGGUCGAGAAUGGAAUGGUGCUUAACAGCCUCUUCCUAAACUAUAGCCAACAAGAUUCAAGAAAACUGUAACUCCUUCAUGAGCAUAGUAGCAUUGUAAUAGCAUUGUACGACGUGUGAAUAUUUUUCCAUGCUGCUCCUCUUUUGCUGUACUUAUUCGAGUUACUUUUUAGUCCCUAAAGUGUUAGGAAAAAUGGUAGUAUAGUUUGCAACAUUUGGGGCCAAUUAACAUCUUGAGACCCGCAAUCACUUUAUCUUAGUCUCUUUUGAUGAAAAUUUGAAGAACGUUUUCUUAUUAAACUUUUUUUAAGAGAAUCAAUAGUGAUUGUCUACUUAUGCCUUUCGACAUUUUGAACUCGUGAUCUAUCGGUUAUAGAUGAAACGUCUUAUCACCUAGACUGCGCUUCAUUGUCAAAUUUGAAGAAAGCUUUGAAAACAAAAAGAAAAAAAAAAGAUUAAGGAUUUUAACAAAGCAGAGGUGGAAAAAAAAAAAAACUGCACGCGACAUUACUAGCUUCAACACUUUUCUCUUCCCAUAUCAAAAAAGGCAUUCAUUGUUACUAUUCAGUGGGACAUUGGCUCAGCAAGAGAAUUUGGCACCUCCUGCAGCACAUUUUCAUGCAGCCACAUAAAAACAAAGCAUACCAGCUGAAUGAUCAGCGUAGACCAAUCACAUUCUCUGAACGAUUCAGAUAUUCAAGAUACACAACCAAAAAAAAAGGUGGGGAAGGGUAUAAUUUCAUAUUCCUUUCACAAAAAAAAAGAAAGAAGCAUACCGUCCAAAUUAUCAGUAGCUCAAUCACAUCCUCUGGACAUGUUCAAAAGAAAAAGGUACAGCUUCACAUGCUUCUUCCAGCAUAUGCGUCGUGCUCUGAUAAGCAUCUUUGCAAUGUACACAGUUUUAGGUUACAACACAAAUAUAAGAGUUCCACAUUGACAAGUUUACGAGUCAGCCUGCAGAAAAAUGUCACGUUGAGUUUUAGUUUCUCAAUUAACAAUAAGACCAUCAAUACAGAUGUCUUGUUGCAGUUGCUGACUAGUUUACAAGGUGAAAUUUCUCUAGCCACUCUGCAAAAUCCCCAAAAUUUAGGCAUAAGCUACAUAACUUCCACCACCCCUUUGUCAGUAAGAAAUGCCGAAUAGACAAUUUCAGCUAUAUUGCUGAAUAAAGCACCAUGACAAUGGACCAAAAUGUCGUUAUUUUAUCCUCCCAGUUGCAAAACCCGCGCAUAGUUAUUAAAGCAGAAGUCUGUUCAGACCCCUGCACCAGUUCUCAUGAAUGGAGAUGCAGCAGGAGGGAUCAAACCAAGAGCUCGCAUUAUUUUCAGUCUGCGUAAACUCGGAUCUCUAGAUUUUUCUACCAAGGAUGGCAACUGCUAGUAGCAUAAUAAAAAGCUAAGUCAACAAAUGCUGCCCAGGAGAUGAAGGAUGCAGAAUGCUCAAAAGAAAGCAAAGAUAAAAUUGACCCACAACUUCAUGUUUAGUUGCUUUUGCAUUCUUCUGCUUCCCCGCUUCCAUCUGUGUUUGAUGAAUCUUAAAAGAAUGUGCAUGAUUCAACAAGAUACAAACUAUUUGAUGAGAAAAAGAAAAACAAUGAGUUAAAAAAUAACUAGAGACAACAAGGACUAGCACACGCUCACAGAACUCAGCCUGGGUGUCUUUAGGGUUGCAUUCUGUGUCUGAUCUUUACUUCUUGAUGGUUCGGCUCUCACUGAAAGUGAAUCAUGAUUUUUUUCCCUGGCCUCUGCAUUCUGAACGAAAAUAAUCCUAAAACUAUAAAUUUUGUCUCAUGAAGCACAAAAACAAGAUCCAGUACGAAAGUGCAAGUAUGAAUUGUAAUCUGCUCACAGAAUUUGGGCUCUUUGGUUUAAGUUUUUCAUGACUACCACUUUCCGUUUCCUCCUCCUCCUUUCCUUGCUCAGACUUUGAAGUCGUCUUGCCCUUUUUAACUGAAUUCUGUGCAGCAGUACCAUUUGAAGGCUUCUUUUUUGAGGUUUUUACCUGAUAUAAUGUUCAAUUAAAGGAAACCAAAAACCCCAGAACAAAAAUGCAAGCCUUGCAAAGAGGAAAUUAAGGUAUGUAAGACCAGAAAAGAUGUUUACUCACAGAUACUGAAGUGGCUUUUGGUUUCUUGGGCUUUAUAUUAGGCUUUGGUUUUCUGCUUUCUGCACUCUUACUUUUUGAUAGUAAUUGUACUAGGGAGAUAUUCCCCUAAGAUCCCAAAAUUGUUUCAACAAUAUGAUAGGAAGACAAUUAAGAUUCAUCCUUAAAUGGAACCUAGAAUUGCAAAUUACUCACAGAGUUCUUCACUGGCUCCAAUUUGAUCUCUUUUCUGCGCUUUGCUUCUGGAGUUGGCUGCAUUUAUCAUACAAAUGCAAAGAAGAAAAUGAAAAGCUCAACAAGUCAAACAUGAGAAAAUGCAAAUGAAGAAGGGAAGGAGCCUGUAAUCACAGAAAUUAUGCUAUUUGACUUGGGUUUCUUCUGCUCAUCUUCUUUUUUCCUUUUCCGGCUUUUCUCUUCUUUGCUCCUGACUGAAUCCAAAUUUAUUUCCUUCGACUUUUUUGUCAUUAACUUGGUAUUUAGCUUUUCCAAAUUUGAUUUUACCUGAUACACAAAAUUGCAGAUGCACAUGAAUUAAAACAUAUAGAUAAUGAUCCAAUCAAACAGGCCCAUUAAGAGGCUCAGACCAUAAAAAGCUCAAGAAGCUACGGAGUAAAUAAAACAAAGCACAGAUUUCCAUUCUAAUGCAUUUCUUGAGGACUGCAUUACUUUGCUUUUCUUCAGAAGUGUCAGUAUGAAUUCCAAACAUUACUAUAAACCUUCAACAAUUUAGACUCCCUGAGCACUCACAGUUGGGUGGUGAUAUUGCAAUGAAGGAAGAAUGUGUUCAUUUUCCCCUUGAUUUUACCAGACGAAAAAGAAGACAAGACAAACUUACAGAUGAAAGGGAUUUGAUAUUCUCGCCUUUGUCAAUUUUAGUUUGCUUUUCCAUUUUAUUUUGAGAUGCCUCAGCCACAACUGUUCCUGCUCAAACAACCAUGCAACUGUGAAAAGUAAGAUAAAUAACUGAGUACUUUGAAUUAUGACUAACACUUUCAAUAACUACCAUCUUGUGAGUUUCUUAAGUGCAACUUUUUAAUACCUCAUAAACCUAUUACCUUCACAAAUAACAUAAGCAUCAGUAUUAACGAGAUUGGGGCGCAGAGACGAGCAAAAAGCUUCAAAUGUUUCUUCCUUCAUAAUGAUUAAUCACAAAUUAAGUAAAGAAAAGACAGCAAAUCAGAAAGAGAAUAAGAGAAGUCAAGCUGUGUCAAAAACUUUUUGAUGCCCCAAAGUAGGAAGUGCGUAACAUAAAAUUCAACAAAGUUUGGUCAUGUAGUUAAGAAAAGAGAGAGAGACUAGAAAGAGGGUAAGAGAACUGGUAAGCUAAGUCAAAAUCCUUGUGACAUACCAAAAGGCUAGUACGCCCCAUAAAAUGGAACGAACAAAAAUGAAAACUUCAAUAAACAUUAUUUUGAUAGAAAACUAGAAGGAAGCUACCUCUCUCUUGAAUUAAAUAGUUUCUCAUAUUACUCAUGUAAAAAAGCAAAAAAACAAAAAAAAAAAGGGAGCAUAAAAUGGUAUACAAAAUCAAAAGAUGGGCUAACCUUUUGUUUUUUGCUUACAUGAACCUGAUUUGGAGCGCUGGAGUUCCUACAGUUCAAAUCCAUUAUUGGUAAGAUACAUUCAAAAGGAUCAUUUAAUUUUCUGGCCUAUAAUGAAGCAUAAAGCACCUAUGCAUUGCCUUCUGCAUAUGAAUUUGACAAGAAAGAAUUACCUGCUUCAUAGCUUCACUCAGAAUAGCACACUAUGACAACUCGUGUAUCCCUUGCAUCUUAUCAUUGAAAGGUAUAGACAACAUAACUGUUCAGAACACUGUUAAAGGGUGCAUGGACAAAUUUAAAUGCUCAAACUCCAAGCCAAGUUGAAUAGGAUCUUACAAAAAGAUGCAGGAAGAGGAAACUGCUGCCACAACUUCAAAAUUAACAAAUUAGUGCAGAGACCAAACAACCAAGCAGCAAAGGGCCAGUUCCAACUUGUAGUGUCCUUACAGUGGAAUGAGAUCUCCACCUGUUUUUCUCCACUUCCCUUUACAUCUUCCACUUACAGUGCCUUCAUCAACCUACCAUCAAAUGAAGUAAAAAUAUGACUCACUUUUGUUCUUUGCAAGAUACAGAAUGUACUAAUUUCACUGGCAGUAACAUUUAUUUGUGAAAUGCAGGAGAACUAAGGUUUUUUUGUAAUAAGAAUAUGGAGCUGAACCAACAAAAUCGCCAGAAUGAUAACUCUUGCGAGAUUUGAAAAACAGUAGUCGCUCUCUCAUCUAUUUUUCCAACAGAAAAUCUGUUACUUGCCCUUAGUUUAUCUUAGCGUCUGCAACUGAAUGAUCAAUUUUGCAUUCAUGCACAUUGCUAUAUGGAGUUGCACGUUAUCAGAUCAACAAUAGACAUCACACUGCAAGAAAAUUUACUGACAUCUAGGUUUUUCAAGUAUUUGAUCGUACUUAAAGCAAUUCAAGCUGUACAGAGCAAUAAUAGGUCAUACUAGAUAUCAACAGACUGCAUUAUGCAAUAUAAGGAAACUGAAUGUAUCUUAUAUCUUCCCUUUCAAUAUACAAAAGCGGCUAAUCAUUAUCAUCCAUAUAUCUACAUUAAAUAGCAUUUAAGAGUGCAUUAUUUUGAAACACAAAUGCAUUGAAAAAUAUACCCCUACCGUCAAUCACAUCCACAUGACAGAAUGGCUGCCCAUGCAACACUAUAGCUUCAAGCAUUUCAACCACUCACAUCCUCAAAGAACCGCUGCAUAAAGUAAAGAUCUUUGUUGCACAUGCUCAGUGCAGGUCUUCAGGAUGAGAAUGCCUAAUGGUUCUAGGUAUCAAGUUCUACAAUUUCCUCAAAUCUAGGAUAUUGAGAUGCCAAGACUAUCAGAGAUGUCUAGAGGUAAAGGCAAUUUUCAAACUCCGAAGCAUGAAAACUUUACUCUACAUUAGGUACAUCCAGUUGUUGGAACUAGCAUGAAAUGGACAGAUAUCAAUAUCAAGGUCUGCUGGAAAGCUGCAAAUUCUCAACAAUUAAAACAAAAAAAGGCAAAAAAGACAUUGUCAUGUUAGAGCAGUUGAAUGCCCCUGCAUAACUACGAACAUAUACCAAUGGUCCAGCAUUGCACUUCAGUAACAAUCAAAGAUCAAAAAUCUAGUAGGACCACAAAUUGUAGCUAAAUUAUUACAAGGCAAUAAAAUCAUUUCCGCUGCAGCUCAAGGGUUAAUACUUUUAGUUAACAACAUCAGCUGUGAAUUGUCAGAAAUUGAAAGUCAGCAGUUAAUUUAACACAGGAGAUGCUCCAAUUAACAGCACUGAGAGACCACAUUUUAGCCCAGAGCGUUCAUAUCGACACAAUCGCAAAAAAUAGGGGAUUAAACCCAGUGGUAACCAAGCAGUAUUGGCUUUCAUCGAUCUUAAAUUAAUCAAACUACAACCAAAAUCAAAAGAAAUGAACCAAGAAACAAGAAAAACAUUCAAGAAAUCCUCCUGCCCCUUCUAAUUUCCCCAGUCCCCAAGUCCCAUUUCCAAAUAAUAACUAUGAAUAUUGGAAAGAAAAAGGAUAAAUUAACUUACGUGUAGAAGUGAAAAGAGUCCAGAAAAACUUCAGAUGUUAGCUGUCAAAAAACUCAAAACUCUUUCCGUAUAAUCUGCACUUCUUGUUGGAGAGUGGAGACAAUGGGGAGUGAAACAAAUGUGGCCAAUUUACAACAGCACUUGCGCAGAAAUGAGAGUUCCCAGACCUUGGACGACUUUUUCCCUUCAAUGUCUCCCAGGUCCUAAUAACGAAACCAAAGCCAAAAGGAAAACAAGAAGGGAUAAAGAGUUAAUUACAAAGUACCCCCUCAAAAAACCACAUGCCUUGCCUUGCUUGUUAUUCACAUGGAUGAUGGAACAAAUCAAUUCUCUCAGCUUUUUAUGGUUUCCCAUUGCCGAGCGCUCCUAAAUUGCCUUCCAGUAUGAUGAUUUUGUAACGGGAGAUGCAUGUAUAUUUAUUAUUGUGAUGAAACGACAGCUUUUUUUUUCGGGUCUAAAUGGGUAUCCAAAAUUACCCAGACUAAUCCCUUAGUUGGGCAGAGUUUCGCCCCAAAUAUGCCCAGCAACAAUAGCACAUGGGGAUCGAAUCUGAGACCUUACUGUAAUUAUAAAUGAUCAAUCCCAACCGAGCUACCCACGGGAGCACGAUAAAACGAGCUUGUCAUAAAAUUCAUUAUUUGUGACCUAGAGUUGGAAAAUGUACACUUGAAAAUUAUUAUUAAGUCUAUUAUUUGUUCUUUUUCAACUUCAUGUUUAAAAAUGGUGAACACAUAUUUGUGGGUAAAUGUUGAUUUCCUUUGCCGAAGAAUCUCCAAUUUUAUUGUUCUAUGCAAGAUGUACAUGUAACGUAAUAAAGUUGUAACUAGGGCUGUGCAUCGAAAUCGAAAUCGGUAAAUCGGAAGUUUGAAAUUGGAAUUUUUUGAAAUUUUGACAUGAAUUUUUCCGACCGAAUUCGAUUUCGAAAUGGCCAAUUCCGAUUUCGAAUUCGAUACCCGAAUUUCGAAUUCACCGAAUUCAAACCUACUCUACUCUUAGUCUACUGCACUUCCUCCCUUCUCGGUCUAUUGCUAUUCUACUUCACUCUCACCGACCACUGCAAACUCCUGCCAGUCUAAGUCUACUCCGUUUUCUCCAACUUUCUCUACGCUACUUGUGAUUUAGUAAGUAGUACAAACUGCAAAGAGAAACGACCAAUGGAAGGAGGGUUGGAGCUGAGUAAAGUGACGCUGGAAAUCUUCUCCAAGCUCGAGCAACAGUGGUUGCAUCACUGCCAACCCCCCAAGAAGACUCACAUUCUCAGUAUCGACGGCGGCAGAGUCGGCUCCCCCUCUGCCAUCUUCGCCGCUCAUUCCUUGAUCCUUCUCGAAGACCAGAUCCAUGCCAAAUCCGCUGAUUCCCAAUCUCGCAUUGCCGAUUUCCUCAAUCUUAUCACCGACACUGGCAUUGGAGCUCUUUACGCUGCAAUGCUUGCCGCCGACGACGGUUAUGGACGUCCUUUGUUCACCGCCAGGGAUGCCGUCAACUUCAUCGCCCAAAACUAGUCCCGGCUCUUUAAAGUCAAGGGCACCCUCACCCUUUCAAGCUUGCUUUUGGUUACCGAUCCGAUCGCAAGUAAAUGAGAUACUCUAAAUAUACCAACCCUGUCCUCUGUUCUGGGUGUAGUCUAUCGCCCUUUCGGCCCACUGAGUAGGCCUUUUUCUUUCAAUACGACGGCCUCAGCUUAUUCUUUUAGACUCGUCCCACGAAGCGGUUUGGAACUCGUUUCGUAUGCGGUAUCACCUCUUUUAGUUGAUUGUCCCGGCGAACCUGAGUAUGCCUCCUUUCCGCCAGCCUAGGCUUCGGAAUUCUCGCCGACAAAGGUUCUCUGGCAGGAGCAUGGAUGUGGCGUGAAGAUGGAGGUGAAACUGAGAGUGAGAGAGAGUAAGUUGAGGAAGUAGGAAAUCACAGUGAGUCGGAGACGGAGGAAGGAAGGUGAGACAGUGAGUCAGGCGGUGGAGGCGGUAGAGAUGGAGGAAGGAAGGUGAGAGAUAGUCUUGAGAGACGAUGAGGAAGAGGUGGCGAAGAGUAACAAGAGUUAACAGAUUAGGUUUUUGCAAUUUC
rnacentral:lncRNA from 1 species